rnacentral:lncRNA from 1 species
AACAGGCUGGUGUUUCAUGAAAGCCCACCAAAAGGCCCAAGUGCUAACAACCUCACCGCAGUUGCCACUGUGCGUCUGUGCUACCCCCCUAAAAAAACUGUGCUGGCAAAAACCGUACCUUGUACAAAUUUAUUGUCGAGAAUUUUUUGUGCAAGGAAUUUAUUUUCUCCCUCAAGUUAAACAAAAGGGCUAACGGAGUUAUCCAUACAAGCACACACGAAAAGAGAAGAAAAAAAAAACGAUUGCUCAUCUCAACAAGCACAACGGAGCAAGUCCAGACCCGAGUUUGAGCCUCCGCCUGUCAACGGAAUUGACAAGUUUCCUCCUCUCCUUGUUUAUAUCCCAAGAGUCCCUGACCACAGCCAGGUAUGUCUCCCAGCAAAAAUGGUGCUGGGACUUGCUUGUACAGCAAAAAAGCUCUCAUGCGGCUGAUGUUGCCCCCUCCCACUUGUUCACCACCUCUUUCAACUGCUCAAAUCCCUGAAAUGCAACAGACGGGUAAGACAGGAGUAAGCAAGUGUUCUGGGUUGUUGCUAGGCAGUGGGCACAAGUACACUAGCACCUACUACAGGCUAUGUCGACACACAUAUUGCUCAGCUUAGGCAUUUCCCGGUAUCAAAACUAUUGUUAACUGCCAAGCCAUAUCAAUUAGUCCAGCGCUUAUACUGAUGACAACUAACAGAAAGCAACAAUUUAACAAUCUUGCUAGUUUGUACUACCCUCUGUACACUAAUGUNNNNNNNNNNNNNNNNNNNNNNNNNNNNNNNNNNNNNNNNNNNNNNNNNNNNNNNNNNNNNNNNNNNNNNNNNNNNNNNNNNNNNNNNNNNNNNNNNNNNGUGGUUAUCGAGGGUGAUUCCUCUUUCACCAUUCCCGAUGACGCCUCUGUCGUGCAACCCCUCAAGUGUGGGACCCUCGAGGGUGAUUCCUCUAAGCCCACCUUGACGGGUACAUCAUUCGGAAUCCAACGAGGGUGACACCUCGGAUUCCCCCCGAUGUUACAACCACACAGUUACUCGACCAUGUUACUGGGAUCAUUGGUGCUUAGUUGUAAGACGGGUGGAUUCCCGUGAUACUGUGUUGCUGGCCUAAUUAAAAUGCUAAUGGAUUUGGGUAUUUGAUCUGGGUUGGUCGGAGACCUUUUCGCACUAACCGGCUACGCGGGAAGAAUUAUGGGUACUCGGCGUCGCGGUAUCAGCCGAAGCUUUUCAGAUGCCAGCAAUGUAGCGGCGCGCGCCCGAGUGGUCCCGAGAUGCAUCGCGCUUGUGAUUAAGGGAUGCUAGGACUGACGUCGGCCGCCCACGCCACGUGCAGGAGCGUGAAGGGGAACUGGGCCCACGAACCCUUUGUGCUUAGGAUUUAGACCGGCGGGCUGGCCUCUCUGAUUAGUCUUAGGUGGGGCUGCGACAUGUCGAUAUUCCGAGGCCGGACAAGACCCAGAAAAGUAUGUCCGGCCAGAGUGUUAUCGAGCGUGACGGGACAUGUGGUGCACCCCUGCAGGGAUGAAAAUUAACUAUUCGGAUAGCCGUGUCCACGGUUACAAAACGACUUGGAGUUGUGCCCCGAUCUUUUACAACUACAAUUGUAACUUAACUGGAAUUAGUUUGCCUCGGGAUUGCUUCCUCGCAGGGAGUCGAGGGAGGAUCUUUAGGCGUGACCUCACUUUAAUAUUGCUGCAACAAUAUGACUAUUUAUGUUUUACCCCUGUUCUACUCUCGUAUAUUGCUGCAAGACCCUGAAGAUGCUAGUCUUUGAUAGGACUAGGCCUUCUCUCUCUAUUCUCGCAUUGCUGCAGUCAGUCCACAUAUACACCCCCCCUUCUUUGAUACUGAUGCAUAAUUAGAAUAGUUCUGAUGUAAGACUUGCGAGUACUUUGGAUGAGUACUCACCGCUGCUUUGCUUCCCCCCUUGUCCCCUUGAUCCGUUUGCUGCGACCAGAUGAUGGAGCCCAGGAGAUGGAGGUCCCCGCCGCCGACGACUGCUACCCCGACGGUGCCUACUACUACGUGGAGGCCGCUGAUGAUCAGGAGUAGUUAGGAGGUUCCCAGGCAGGAGGCCUCGCCUCGUUCGAUCGUUGUAUCUUUUGUGCUAGCCUUCUCUAAGGCACCCCAUGUUGUUUUAUAUCUGUACUCAGAUAUUUGUUGCUUCCGCUGACUCGUGUGUUUAUCNNNNNNNNNNNNNNNNNNNNNNNNNNNNNNNNNNNNNNNNNNNNNNNNNNNNNNNNNNNNNNNNNNNNNNNNNNNNNNNNNNNNNNNNNNNNNNNNNNNNUGUAUUAUAACUCUAACACCCCCCCUCAAACUCAUGGUGGAUGAACAACACUGAGUUUGGAGAGAUAAAAGCCAUGUUGUGCUCUAGUCUGGGCCUUCGUCAGGAAAUCCGCUAACUGUAACUCGGAAGGCACAUACUGAAGAGCAACAACCUGAUCCUGCACAGCAGCGCGCACAUAGAAAGCAUCAACACCAAUAUGCUUGGUGAGCUCAUGCUUCACAGGAUCGCGCGCAAUGCUAAUAGCACCUGUACUGUCAGAUAAGAGCAGAGUCGGUGUAGUGACAGAAACACCAAAAUCCUGAAGUAACCACCGUAACCAAGUCACCUCUGCCGCCAAAAGAGCCAUCGCUCGCAACUCAGCCUCUGCACUCGAACGGGAAACUGCAAUCUGUUUCUUCGUCUUCCAGGCAAUGAGAGAACCACCAAGAAAAACACAGUAAGCAGAAAGUGAACGGCGAUCUGAAGGAUCACUAGCCCACGUAGCAUCCGAAUAGGCCUGAAGCUGUAAUGAACUGGAGCGAGGAAAGAAUAAACGAUGAGAGAUUGUGCCCCGAAGAUAUCGGAGAACACGGAGGAGAUGACUAUAGUGAACCGAUGUGGGAGUAGAGACAAACUGACUCAGAAUAUGAACCGGAUAAGAAAUAUCCGGACGAGUGACAGCUAGAUAAACAAGACUGCCAACAAGAUGACGAUAGCGCGUCGGGUCAGGCAGGGGAUCACCAUCAGUAGCAGAGAGGUGAACAUUGAGCUCCAUAGGAGUCUCAACAAUGCGCUCAUCAGUAAGAGCAGCACGAGCAAGAAGAUCCUGGAUAUACUUUUUCUGGGAUAUAAAAAAGCCAUCAGAGGUAGAAGAGACUUCAAUCUCAAGAAAGUAGCGAAGAGGUCCAAGAUCAGACAUAAGGAACUGCUCACUAAGACGAGCCUUGACAAAGGCAAUAUACUCAGGGUCAUCCCCAGUGAUGACCAUGUCAUCAACAUAAAGAAGAAGAGUCCGACCACGAGGAGAAAGGUGAAUAAACAAUGCUGGAUCAUGAACACUGGGUGAAAAACCAACGGCAGUCACCACAGAGGCAAAACGCUCAAACCAGGCUCGGGGGGCUUGCUUAAGGCCAUAGAGAGAGCGACGAAGACGGCAUACCAUGCCAUCAGGAACAGAAUACCCAGGUGGAGGCUGCAUGUACACCUCCUCACGCAGCUCACCAUUAAGAAAAGCAUUCUUAACAUCAAGCUGAGAGAUAGACCAGUGGCGUGUAGAGGCCACGGCAAGAAGUGUACGAACAGUGGUCAUAUGAGCCACAGGAGCAAAAGUCUCGUCAUAAUCACAACCAUGCUCCUGCUGAAAACCACGAGCCACAAGACGAGCUUUGUGACGCUCAAGAGAACCAUCGGAGCGAGUCUUUACCUUGUAGACCCACUUACAAGUGAUGGGACGGACUCCAGGAGGAAGGGAAACAAGAUCCCACGUACCUGUGCGUUCAAGAGCAGCAAUCUCCUCAGCCAUCGCAAACUGCCAUUCAGGUUGAACAACAGCCUGAUGAUAAGUAGUCGGCUCAAGAACAGCAGCUCCAGCGGUGGAAAAUCCUAAGCGAUCAACAGGCGGACGAGGACGAGAACGCAAGCCAUAAGUAGGCUGAGACGAGGAUGACGGCACAUCCAGAGAGGCAUCCACAGAACGUGAACGGCGAGUGUAACACUGAGUAAAAGAUGGAACAAUGGAAGGAGGAAUCGCUAAAGUAGAAUCGGAGAGUGGCGACGAAGAAGUCACCGGAGAUGAAGGUGUAGAAUCCGGUGACAUGCUAGACGAGGAGACCGUGGAAGAUGGUGGCGACAAAUCGACUGGAGGUGGAGAAGCAGAGGGAGCGGAAUGAGUAGGCAAAGGCUCGACGAGUGUGAUAGGCGUGUCAGGAAAAGUGAGAAAAGAGAUAUCCUCCACUGAAAAAGUCGAGGAAGAUGGGCGUGGGUAGAAGGGACGAGACUCAUCAAAAGUCACAUCCCGAGAGAUAUGUAUCCGACGACCGAUAGGAUCCCAACAACGAUAGCCCUUAUGCUCAUCAGUAUAGCCUAAGAAGACACACUCAACAGACUGAGUGGUCAGUUUGGUGCGUUCGCGGGGGGCAAGAAGAACAUAGCAAACACAACCAAACAAGCGAAGCGUCGAAUAAUCGGGAGACCGAUCAAAAAGACGCUCGAAGGGAACACCACCCUGUAGAGCAGCGGAAGGCUGGAAAUUGAUGAGAUAGGUGGAGGUGGAGACAGCCUCAGCCCAAAAAUGAGGCGGGAGAGAGGCAGCAAUCAUCAAUGCACGAGCCGUCUCAAGAAGAUGACGAUGCUUGCGCUCAGCCACGCCAUUCUGAGCAUGAGCACCAGGACAAGAGAAUUGAGAGAGAGUCCCUUGCUCAGCAAGAACACCACGCAACAUCUUAGAGAUAUACUCGCCAGCGGAGUCAGCAAGAAACACACGAAUGGGAGAAGAGAACUGAGUAUGAACCAUGGCAGCAAAACGCUUAUAAAUGGACAACACCUCACUACGAGAAGUCAUGAAAUAAAGCCAUGUGUAACGAGAGAAGUCAUCGAUGAAAAUAAUAUAGUAUUUAUGACCCCCUUUCGAAGCGAAGGGAGCCGGACCCCAUACAUCGGAAUGGACUAAAUCAAAAGGACGCUUAGACACUGACUCACUAUGUGGGUAUGGUAACUGAAUCUGCUUGCCAAGACGACAACCCUGACACUCUAAGGAGGCAUCUCCUGAGACAGACCCCAAAAGACCUCGACGAACUAACGACGACAAACGAGAACCACACAGAUGACCAAGUCGAUGAUGCCACUGCUGGAAAGAACCAGUAGCCGAGGCGACCAAAGCGGAAGAACUGGCGAUAGAAUGGCCAGCGGAAGGAACAUGAAGCCAGUCCAACUCCCAAAGACCCUCAGAAUCACGGCGGCGAGGACCAGCCCCAACCAGAGUGUGCGUGCGACGGUCCUGGACAGAACAAGAGUCAAGAUCAAGGAUGACACGACAACCAGAAUCAGCAAGUUGACCAGCGGAAAACAAAUUCAUGGUAAGUCGAGGAACAUGAGCAACAUCGGGAACAGAAUAAGGAGUGGUAAGAGUGCCUCUACUAACGACAGGAAGGGGAGUACCAUCAGCAGUGAGGACAUGAACAGGAGAAUCAAGCGAACGAAGAGAGGACAUAGUGGAAGAAUUAGAAGUCAUAUGAAAGGAAGCUCCAGAGUCCAGAACCCAUGGGGAUGUACCUGACUGUGUAGAAGGUGGUUGCUCAGUGCGGGAAGCCUCAGUCACAGAACCAGCAGUACCCGUUGAGGAAGAACCUGAAGCAGCGAGCAGACGCUUAAGUCUCAGAAUAUCCUGCUCAGUGAAAGCGAUGGCUGAAGCUGUCGAGGUAGGUGACGAAGUCGCUGUAGAUGAUGACCGCGCCUUGCGCAAGUGUUUCUUCUUCAUGUAGCAUUGGGGCUCAAUGUGAUCAUCAUUGUUGCAGUAGUUACAAUGUGGACGGGGGCGACCUGAGCCGCCAGAAGGAGUGGGCAGGAGCGGCGGAGCACUCGAGCGAGAAGGGGUCGAUGCAGCAGGUGGCGUAGAAAAAGUCCGAGCAGCGAGCACCGAGGGAACCUCCAGCAAACCAGCACCACGUAAGCGAGUCUCCUCAGCACGAAUCUCAGAAAGCGCCUCCAUGAGAGAAAUACGGCCACGAGCAAACAACUGAGCACGCCGGGGCUCAAACUCCUUACGGAGCCGAGACAGGAACUCGUAGACGCGAUGAAACUCCAAGUCGGCCUGAACAGCCUGGCAACAGGGGCAAGUACGACAACCAGCACUGCGGAGAGAAUCAAGCUGGCGCCAGAUAGCAGAACUCUGUGCAUAGAAGUCAUCAACAGUAGAGUCACCCUGAUGAAGAGCAUGCUCUUGACGGACCACAGAGAGGUAUAAGGCAUCACCAGAGGGCUCAUAGCGCUGACGAAGGCGGGUCCACAUCUCAAAUACAGUAGGAAGACCCAGAAACUCAGAAGCAAACUGAGGCAGAACACUAGCAGUGAGAACAGCGGCAGCACGAGCAUCAUCAUCAAGCCACUGUGUGUAAACGGACAGAGCAUCACGAUACACCUGAAGAGCCUCCUCAUAAGCCAAGACCUUCUCAUCAUAAGCACUCACAGCGGCCUCAUCAGCAAGCUGAGUCGCAUCCUUUGCGGCCUGAGAAGCAUCCGCAGGAAGAGCCGGUGGGAUCGGCGGAGUGGGAGCCACGGGAGGAACCGGACAUGGCGGACAACAGACCUCGCCGGAAAGAAAACCCCAUAGGCGGAUGCCACGCAUGUGAAUGCGCAUGAAGCCAAUGAACUCGGUGUAGUUAGUGCCAUCAAAGAUCACCGGACAACGAGGAACAACAACAUAGCCGGAUGAAGCAGACUUUUUUUUUUUUUUUUUUNNNNNNNNNNNNNNNNNNNNNNNNNNNNNNNNNNNNNNNNNNNNNNNNNNNNNNNNNNNNNNNNNNNNNNNNNNNNNNNNNNNNNNNNNNNNNNNNNNNNNNNNNNNNNNNNNNNNNNNNNNNNNNNNNNNNNNNNNNNNNNNNNNNNNNNNNNNNNNNNNNNNNNNNNNNNNNNNNNNNNNNNNNNNNNNNNNNNNNNNNNNNNNNNNNNNNNNNNNNNNNNNNNNNNNNNNNNNNNNNNNNNNNNNNNNNNNNNNNNNNNNNNNNNNNNNNNNNNNNNNNNNNNNNNNNUUUUUUUUUUUUUUUUUUAGAAACAGAGAGCCGGAUCCAAUCGAGAUCAAAACGAGAUCAGGGCGGUGGCUGGCGGGCGCUGCAACGGGAGGACGAGAGCAGCGCUGGAUCUGGCGAAAUCAGCAGCAGGGGCGACGAAAUCAGGACCCUGGUUCGGCCUCGUCACUGGAAGCCGGCGAUGCAGUCGAUCUGGAGCUGGGCGACGGGAUCCGAUCUGNNNNNNNNNNNNNNNNNNNNNNNNNNNNNNNNNNNNNNNNNNNNNNNNNNNNNNNNNNNNNNNNNNNNNNNNNNNNNNNNNNNNNNNNNNNNNNNNNNNNUGUGACAUCCUCGACUUUUGCAACAGUAAUUAUUGUAAUUAAGCUACAGUGAUCAACCGCUAAUGAUGCCACGUCAUCGAAUUCCCAUCUCAGACCCGCGUUGAUUCGAGUCUGUCCGGAUCCAAAAUUUGAAAGCAAAAGAAAAGUACUUUAUGAGUUCAUUACAAAUAUUAAAAGAAUAUAUAUAAAAAGGAAAGUAUUAAAAAUAAUAAUGAAAAAAGGAAAGAAAGAAAUAAUAAAAAAAAGGAAAAAAGAAAACAAAAUAAAACAAAACAAAGCAACAAAAAAAAAGAGAAAACCCCCCACCCCCUGGCCUGGCUGGGCCAAGAGGCCCAACCGGCCAGAACCCUAGCGCCUCCCCCUCUGGCGAGGGAGCCCUGCCUCGCUCCCUCCCCUCCCACCGAGCGCCGCCAGCCUCCCCCUCGUGGGGGGCCCCACCCCCACCGACACACCCCCCCACCAACCGUCGCCCUAUCCCCACGAGAGAACCUCUCUCUCUCUCCCGUAACUCCCUCUCUCUCCCGUGACUCCCUCCCCCACGACUCUCCCCUCCCCUCGCAUCUCCCCUCCGCCCCGGCUUCCUUCUCCCACCGGCGAGCUCCCCCGCCGGCCCUCCUCUCCACCUCCUCCCCUCCCGCCGGCGGCCCCCCUGCCUCUCCUCACCGAGAAGCCCCCCUCCCGUCGGGUCCCUCCCGCCGGCGGCCCCCAUAUCUCCCGCCGGCCGAGGCCCCUUGUUUCACCCCGCGGCACCACCCCCCCUGGAGACCGACCCGAGGAGCCCCGCCGGUCGAGCCCCUCCCCGUCGGUAGCUCCAUCCCAGGGGCCCUCCUCAUCGGGGCCCCUCUCGGCAAGACCUCGCCGGCACGACUUCUCCGACGAUCGUCCUCACCGGCAUCACCACCGGAACCGCGCUGUCACCGUCACCGUCACCGCCUCGUCCGCCUCCACGCCGUCUCCUCCGCCCCUUCCCGCGAACUCCUGCUUCAUCGGCCCCUCCCGUCAACGUCGGUGAGCCCCUCCUCGGGCUCCUCCCACCAUGUCGUUCUCCUCGCCGUCCCGGUUCCGUUCCGGCAAACGAGGCUUCGAUCCGUCGAUGGUAGACUCCGGUGGGAAGGAUUGAACAUUUGGUUCUUCUAUGUGGAGUUAGCAGAGAACCUCUCUGUUAUAGUUGUUAACAGAGAGAGGGAGAUGAGAGUUUUGAGAGAAAAUAAAAAAAACAAAUGUUGUAUUCCAUAUGUAUGUAUGUAUGUAUUUGAUACCCGUAUUUAUGUAUGUAUUUGCGUAUAUAAGCAUGUGGAGAAAUACGACAUUUGUAUGGUUAUGUAUUCGUGAUUAAAAUGUGUUUUUUUGGCCUAGGGUCACUUACCGGUGGGGCCAACGCACCCGCUGUCUAUGAUAGGGAGGCCCCACGAGAUAGUUAAUAUAAAUAANNNNNNNNNNNNNNNNNNNNNNNNNNNNNNNNNNNNNNNNNNNNNNNNNNNNNNNNNNNNNNNNNNNNNNNNNNNNNNNNNNNNNNNNNNNNNNNNNNNNGAAUUCCACAAACGGCUUCCGAAAUUGAUGGUUUCUUGGAUCCACCAUACCUCAAGAGGUUCUGAAGCACCGCGAUUACCGACCCAUUUCAAGGGCAUGUUAUUGCCUAAUUCCUGCAGUGCAUAAUACUGUCAGUUACAGCUCCUCCUGCACCACAUCAUUUGAGAGGAUAAUCGUUGGUUUUACCUUAACCCUUGGAACUUCGUCGGCUCCACAACGAGAAACGCACUGCUUCUUGGCAGAUCUAUCACCGCACGGAGCCAGGAACGAGUUGCCCGCGCCCCGCUUCUGAUUCUUGUCUGGUUCGCCCUUGCCAGUGUCAGACAUCAUAACAGACGGGAUAUCACUGCAGCAAGGGCAAUAACAGCCUGAACUUAGCGCAAGACAACAAAGGUUCUUGGCACCGAAACAACAAAGAAUUGACGUCCUGCGGCAAUGGGGACAAGACCGGUUCUUGGCACCAAAACGACACGAACCGCUCACCUGCAGUAAUGGGACAGGAACUCCAUGGUGAACCGCUUCAUCUCCAGGUCGUCCCCGUAGUCCGUCGCCGGCGCCGCGGAAUUGCCCGCGUCGACAUUCAUCGCCGCGGCGGAAUUGGCGAUGUCGGAGUUCAUGGACGCCGCGAGGCUCCUCCGGGCGCCUGAGGGGGAGCCAGCCAGGGCAGCCGACGAGCACGCCGCCGCGGCGGCGGGAGGGGACCGGACCAGGUACCCCGCCAGGGACCCCUUGGCGGCCCCGGGGCUCCCAUGCUGCGACGAGGGCCUCCGCUUCUUGGCCGCGAAGAACUGGGGAGGGGCGGAUCCGGCGGGUGCUUAGGGCUUGGAGGUAGGAGACGGUAGGGAAGAGCUAGGUUUAGGGGUUUACCUGGUCGACGUGACCUCGGGAGGAGCCCGACGCCAUUGCGGAAGGGGGGCGGCGGUGCGGUUUUUGGUUUGAAACUUGGGCAGGAGCGAGCGAUUCAGGUGGGUGGGUGCUCUCUCCUUCUAUACUCUUGGUGCUCCGAGGGCUGAGGAACGUAUUCCCCUGCCUACGAUCCACUAGGCAACACCGUACGCAUCCAUAGGCCCCCACAAGAACUUACCCUACAUCUGUUUGACUUUUUUCUUUACCUUGAUAUGAGAUGUUUUUUAGACUAAUUUAAACCGCAAAACCGACUUAAUUAAGCUAUAGAGGUGGUAGCUGACAAGUCUACCGAACGAAAAAAGAAAAAGGUGUCUAAGGUUACCUAGGGUUUCUAGUCCUCUGGUGGUGCCCGCCGUGAGUUUUCCUUCCGGCUACCUGUUGCUCCCCGUUCGCCCAUCCUCCUCGCCAUCGCCGACCAAUGCUUCCUCGUGGCUGGUGUGGUGGUACAUCUAGGGUUUGGGGGCUCUUGAUCGCUUCAUGAGUUGGCAAGCCAGACGGAGGCAGGCGGCAGACGGAUCCUAGGAUCUGGAAUCCCCGAACAACAUAAUUGAACGGCUAAACUUGUAGAAUGAUGAGGUAGACGACAUCAUCUGGGAAGAUGACGUAUACCUGGCCAAACGGUAUAACUUGUAAAUUGGUCGUGGAGCUGAACGUGGGUACAACAAUGAUGAUGAUCAUGACGAGCUCAUAGAUCACGACCGUGGAAGAAGAGUAGGACGAACUAGGGGAGAGGAAGAUAUGGAAGAUAUGACUUCAAUGGUCAAGAUGUCGAUAAAAUAGUAAAUUGGAAAAGGAUGGUCUAACUAGAAAUACGGGGAUGGAGACGUAUGAUGCAAACAAAAGAUGGCGCUUUAACGCGCAAAAUGAACAUAACAGUGAUGAAGUAGAUGGAAGUUCAUCAUUUCUAUGGAAAAGGAAUGCCACUGAUCCGGUGAAUAAACCAAAGGAGUCAUGAGUUCCCUUGCUUAAAGGAAUAGGCUUGGUUGCGGAGAGGGUUGACAUGUUUAAUGGGAACACUGAUAAAUACAUCACGGAUUGGAAUUAUCUGGGCAAUAAGGUUGCCACACCCCAAACAUCAAUGGACAAAGAGAAACCGAGAGUGGAUAUUUGGAGGUGGUUCCGUCUUUAGAAGAAAAAUAUAGUGGCGGCCUCUAGAAAUGGGGGUUGCUAAGGAAUCAUGAAAACUAUCAGUUGGAACUAUCGUGGACUCCUCGGAGGCCGACAGUGCACACGCUUUUGGAUAUCCAUGGGCAACAUGGCCUAGAUGUGUUUUUUCUAUCGAAAACGCACAUGGACGAGGACAAUGCAGAAAGUUUGAUGAUAAAGCUUUGAAUGUAUCAUAAGAUGGUGGCUCCUAGUAAAUGGAGAAGUGGAGGUUUGAUGGUAGUCUUGAAGAAGGAGAUGAGGAUCUACUCCCGGACUAUGACAUCUGAUUUCAUUGAUGUUGAUGUUGAGGAAAAUAAUGGGAAUGUCUCGUACCUAAUUGGGAUCUAUGAUGAACCUAGUUCGGAUAAAAGAAGAACUUAUUGUUGGGGAACGUUGCAAAGGAAACAAAAAAAUUCCUACGCACACGAAAACCUAUCAUGGUGAUGAUCAUCUACGAGAGGGAGAUAGGAUCCACAUACCCUUGUAGAUCGCUAAGCGGGAAGCGUUAAGAAACGUGGUUGAUGUAGUGGAACGUCUUCGCGAUCCAAAUCAUUGUCGUCCCAUGAUAUGUCCCGAUCUAGCGUGAAACGGAUGGCACCUCCGCGUUUAGCACACGUAUAGCUCGACGAUGAUCUCCGCCUUCUUGAUCCAGCAAGAGGGGCGGAGAGGUAGAUGAGUUCUCCGGCAGCGCGACGACAUGACGGCGAUGGUGGUGGAGCUAGUCCAGCAGGGCUUCGCCUAAGCACCGUUGAAAACUAGACUAAAGGAGAAACGGAUCUAGAGAGAGGGCAGCACAUGGCUGAUUGUUGUGUCUCAAAAACCAUCAAAACCUCUAGUAUAUAUAGGAGGAGAGGAAAGGAGUGUCACGCCCAAGAUGCGACCCUAUCCUCAAUUUGGCACGAAGGCCUCGUCAGGGAUAGAAGCGCAUGUCGUCGUGUCGCAAGAAUGGAUAUCGUUACAAGUACAUGUACUGAAAAGAAGAGAUAUAUAUACAGAGUUGGCUUACACUCGCCACAAGCUACAUCAGAGUCACAUCAGUACAUUACAUAAUCAUCAAGAGUAAGAGCAGGGUCCGACUACGGACGAAAACAAACGACAAAAGAAGAACGACGUCCAUCCUUGCUAUCCCGGGCUGCCGGCCUGGAACCCAUCCUAGAUCGAUGAUGAAGAAGAAGAAGAAGCAACUCCAAAUGAACAAUCAACGCGCUCGCGUCACAUAACCUUUACCUGUACCUGCAACUGGUGUUGUAGUAAUCUGUGAGCCACAGGGGACUCAGCAAUCUCAUUUCCAAAGGUAUCAAGACUAGCAAAGCUUAAUGGGUGAGGUAUGUUUAAGUGGUGAGGUUGCAGCAGCGACUAAGCAUAUAUUUGGUGGCUAACUUACGAAUACCAGAAAUAAGAGGGGGAAGAUCUACGCAUAGCGGACGUGAACUACUGAUGAUCAAAUGAAUGAUCCUGAACACCUACCUACAUCAGACAUAACUCCACCGUGUCCUAGAUCGGAGAAGGAACUCACGAAAGAGACAAUCACGGUUACGCACACAGUUGGCAAGUUUUAAUUAAGUUAACUUCAAGUUAUCUAGAACCAGUGUUAAACAAAGCUUCCACGUUGCCACAUAACCGCGGGCACGGCUUUCCAAAAGAUUUAACCCUGCAGGGGUGCUCCAACUAGUCCAUCACAAAUUACCACAAACCGCAUAGAAAUCCUCAAUCACGAAGCUCGCGAUCUCGUCGGAUUCCCUAGUGGAAAACCUCAACUCUGAGAUUACCCAAAGCAUCACCGGAAUCCCGAUGCACAAGAUAUCUCGUCAAAGGUAAAACUAAUCCAGCAAGGCCGCCCGACGUGUCGACGAUCCCGAUAGGAGUCGCGUACCUCGUUCUCAGGACACGACGGAUGAGCUAGACGUCGGGAUCGCUAAACCUCCGGGUGACCAGAGGGGCGCCGGACAUCGCUCAGGUAGGACCAACACUCAUGAGGAGCACUGGCCCGGGGGUUGAUUAAAUUAUCCUCGGGGUCCGGAAAGUCCCUAUGCAAUUUUAUUAGGUGUUUAGGCAAAUGUAGUACCAAAGUUGGGCCUUGCCAGACCAGCUUUAAUCUAAAACGAAUUAUCCAGGGGGUCCCCAUAACAACCCCGAUCGUGUUAGGAGCGCUCAUUUAUGGAACAUAACACCGGUAGCCGGAACUAAGGGGGCAAAGGUGGAACAAAACACCAGGCUAGAAAGGUCGAGCCUUCCACCUUUUACCAAGUAUAUAGGUGCAUUAAAUUAAAUAGCAUUUAAUAUGGUGAUAUAACAAGGAACCCAUGCUUUCACAUGGAAGCAACUGCACCUGCAACUAGCAACGCUAACACAGGGUUAAGCAAGCGGUAACAUAGCCAAUCAGUGGUUUGCUAGGUUGAACAGGUUGAAGGUUAUCAUGGCAUUGUUGAGAGGCUGAAUUUAACAUGUGGUAGGCAACGAGACAUAACGACAGAAACAAUAAAACUAGAAUGGCAAUGAUAGUAAUGGUAUCUGGGGAAAUGAUCAUCUUGCCUGAGAUCCCGCUUGGAAGAAGAAUGCCUCCGUGAAGCAGACGAACCGACGUAGUCGAACGGGUCCUCACAAUCCGACACGCUUCCGGAACUCUAACGAGACGGGGAAAACCGGAAACAAGAAUCAACACUCGAAUUCACCACAUGAUGCACAACACAAAUGAUGCAUGAGCAGCUGAAUACAUGCAAGUCACGGCAUGACAAAUCACACAAGCAGUCACUACACAUUAAGUGAAGUUCAGUAUGCAACAAGUUGCAUAUUGACGAAACUCCACGUUUAUUUAUUUAGUUCUAUCCCGAUUAGAUACACGGCAAUAUUAAAUGUGGUUAAACAUGACAAGAGGUGAAGCGUAAUUAAACUAACUAUCUAGGCAUUUUAAAUGAGAUCGGAAAUGACAUAUAGCACCUCCGAGACGACCUCACAUGUUAAUUUACGAUUCUGUCCAGAUAUGAACUAACACAUUUAAUUAGUUGUUAAACACCAAAACAAAUAGGUUCACGUGAUUCAAUGCGUCAUUUCAAGAAAUCUACACAAAAAGAACAUCUCCAACGGAGCUAUGGUUCAAAAGAUACAAGCACCGCAAGAUAUGAUGGCAUGAAUGCAAUAUGUGUGCAAUGACAGUCACGAGCACUUCAAAACAUACAACCAGCAAGAGAAAAUGAAACUACACGAGAUUCUAAGCAAGUUUCAUAUAGGACUCGAUCAAAACGGAACUACGGUUCAACAACUACGAGCAAAACAAGAAAUCAUUACAAACUGCCAAAAUCAGCCACAUAGCAUCUUCUACGCCCCACAACUACGGGCUACACAACUCCGAUAAACUCAAACAAGGCAUGACACGAAAGAGGACAAGAAGCACUACUACAAACAACUAACAACAACUAGCAUGGCAUCAUGGAUCACUAGGGAAAAAAGACACAAAAGGGCAUCUCACACACUAUUUCAGACUUGGUGAAAAUUACACCUCAUGAAGGUGCAGUUUUCGAUCUGAAGCCAUAUUGACAGCAGCAAAACCAUAAGCUACAGGAAACCAAAUGGCAUGAAACUUCACAGCAUGCUAGAGAAACACAAGGGGUACAACUAACUCCAUUGGACCAACCUCAAAAGAGCUACAGAUCACAAGAUGCAAGCAAGACAAGACAGCAACAAAAUAUAAGAGAUUCCAGACUUAGAAAUAUUUCAGCUCCUCUAAAACACCACAAUUUCUAGCAACUUGAGAGCAAGAAAAACACACCUAAACAUGCAUUUCUAUUGCAACUAAAAAAUACCAGGGGCUAGACAAAACAUCCAGGAUCAACUCUCUAGUUGACAACUCCUUUAAACGAAGCACGGAAUAAAUCCUACAAAAUAAACAAAAGGGCAUCACGGCAAAAUACCGCGCGAACUAACUUGCUCAAAAGCUAAAACUAAUUGAUUUUUCUACCCCGGAAACAUAUAAAAUAUGUGGGGUUUGCAACACAAAAUAAUGCCGCACAUAAAUGCGAGAAAAUAACCUAUACGCGGAAAAAUAAAUUACCGGCAAAUCCCUACACGUAAAAAUACUAAUGACCGCUCUAAAAUACAUGCAAAAAUGAUUCCUAAAACAUGGGCAUUUCUACUACGGCAUACGAGCAAUCCGGACUUGCACGAAAAUUAAAUACGGGGCGUGUCCUAUUGAAACAACACGCAAAACUAGGCAUUUGGCACGUUAAACUACCUCAAAUAAUUAUGCAAGUUUUAGAAUCGGAUUCUACGCGUGAAACUACACGAAAUCCAUAUCUAAUUCCUCGGGAUCCGACUUACAGAAUAAAAUUUACACGCGUUGUAAAAUCCUCUAUUUUCCUGAAAAUUCUAAACUCACAGGAAAAGAAAUACAAAAAAAACACUACGGGCCGGAACUACUAGCGCUAGAUGCUAUCUUGCGCCACGGGCGAGGGUUAUACGAUGGGAGGCCUCACCUCGCGGGCCUUGGCCCGGCUCGUGGAGGAGGCUGAGGGCGGUGCGGCGCUGGUUGGGCCGGGAGGGGUUGGCCAACUGGGCCUGGCUUGGGCGCCACCUGGGCCGCGCCAGCGCAGCACUGGAGGAGGCCCACGAUUCCACCGGUCAACGGGGCCACGCGAACGUUCUGGCGAACCAGAUCGGGGAGGAGGCGGCGACUGGGCCUCGCGGUCAACGCGAUGCUCGCGGCUUGGGAACGAUCCCUCGUCCCGGUCCGGCUCGGGACCGAGAGGAGGCGGCAAGAGCUGGCGGCGGGGAACCUGGAGAGGCGGCGACGGGUGCUGGCGGCGGGGAUCUGGAGAGGCACGAAGCAGGGCGGACCGGCGGCGCUCGGAUGGUUCCGGCCGUCCGGGAUCCAUUCCCGUCGACGGCACACGCGGCGGUGAGCGGCAGGGACGCGCCGGAGAGGCUGCCGACGGGAGGCACGGGGCGCUCGCGAGGAGCAGGGCUCGGGAGCUGCUGGCCUGGCAGGAAGGAUGAAGGAAGGCGGCGCGGCGAGAUGCAGCGGGGCGGCGCAGGAGGGGGGCCCGACGGCCAAGGCGGCCGGCGGCGGCACGACGACCAGUGGGAGGUGCUCGGGCAGGCAGGGCAUGCUCCUACGGGAGGAGCUCGGGGAGAGGGAGAAUCCCCUGUGGUCGCCCGGACAUUGUCCACUAGAGUGGACAUUGUCCGGUAGGUGAGAUUUUUGGGCAAAUCUGGGCCUUUGGAUGGAUAUCCAAUGGUCCAGAUCUGACCUAAGAUUGGAUUUCGGGGAGAGAGGAGGUGGAGCUAGCAGGUGGGGUUUUUCUAGGGGGCUGGCUGCAAAAAUGACUAGGGGAAACGCUAGUGGAGUGAGAGGGUUCUCUCUAGGGGGUGCUACUUAUAUAGGAUUGGUCUCUCGAGGGGUGGACCUCGACCGUCCGAUCGCGAUUCGAAGACCAUGAACGGAGGAAGUGGCUAGGUGGAACUAGUGGGCUGUGUGGAGCGGUUAUCCGGAGACGAGAGGGAAAAUGGGCAGUGCGGCAACGAAUUUUUAAACACUGACAUAUGUCCGACGGUAGACCGAAUACGGUGCCGCUACGGUCGACCGUUCGGGUACCAGACGGACUCCGAUCGCGACGAAACUUGACAGGCGGCCUAGCUAUAUUAAAAUAACACCGCACGUCAAAUCUCAACCCGAUCAGGGAAAGUUUAACGCACACUUUUAAAACAGGGUUUCGACGGUGCCGCGGGCGCGUGCGUGUGCGGUCGGACUCAGAACAAACAACGACGAGAACCGGCAACUAACAACGGAUGCAAGUUUUGAAAACGGGCGGCAACGGAGACGCCGAUGCAAUGCAGAUGAUGCGCAUGAUGCGAUGAUGAUGCGACAAAUAAAAAUAGACACACGACGAAAACGGAAAGAGAGGGGAAUCUUCGGGAACGUCGGCAUCGGGCUGUCACAAGGAGGCAGCCUUGGCCCCUCCUCCGAAGAGAGGGUCGGCCGAACCAAAGGAAGAAUCCACCUUCCUUGUGGGAAGGUGGAUCACUUUAGAAGGUGGACUACUUUGGGAGGACUCCUCCUUCCCUUCCUUUUAAAAGUCCUUUACCCUUUUAUAUCUUCUCCUAGCCGCAUGGGCCUUUGGGAGAGGCUUUGUCCAGACCACUGAUACAUCUCCGUCAUAUCUAUAAUUUUUGAAUGUUUCAUGCCAAUAUUCUACAACUUUCAUAUACUUUUGGCAACUUUUUAUACUAUUUUUGGGACUAACAUAUUGAUCGAGUGCCCACUGUCAGUUCCUGUUUGUUGCAUGUUUUUUGUUUCGCAGAUUAUCCAUACCAAACGAAGUCCAAACGCAAUAAAAAACCUAUAGGGAUUUUUUUGGAAUAUUUAUGAUUUUUGGGAAGAAGAAUCAACGCGGAAUGAUGCCCGAGGGGGUCACAAGCCCCCUAGCCGCGGCCUGGGGGUGGGGCCGCGCCUGGCGGGCUUGUGACCAAUCCCUAAGGCGGUUGGGGGCCUUCUUUCGCCACAAGAAAGAUAAUAUCCGUAAGAAAAUCAUGUUAAAAUUUUAGCUAAAUCGGAGUUACGGAUCUCCGGGAAUUUAAGAAAUGGUGAAAGGAAGAAUCUGGGAGCGCAGAAACAGAAUGACACACAGAGAGAGAUCCAAUCUCGGAGGGGCUCUCGCCCCUCCGCCGCCAUGGAGACCAUGGACCAGAGGGGAAACCCUUCUCCCAUCUAGGAAGGAGGUCAAGGAAGAAGAAGAAUAAGGGGGGCUCUCUCCCCCUCUCUCCCGGCGGCACCGGAACGCCGCCCGGGACAUCAUCGUGUGACGGCGAUCUACACCAACACCUCUGUCAUCUUCACCAACACCUCCAUCACCUUCCCCCAUCUAUAUUCAGUAGUCCACUCUCCCGCAAACCGUUGUACCCUCUACUUGAAAAUGGUGUUUUAUGCUUCAUUAUUAUCCAGUGAUGUGUUGCCAUCCUAUGAUGUCUGAGUAGAUUUUCGUUGUCAUAUCGGUGAUUGAUGAAUUGCUAUGAUUGGUUUAAUUUGCUUGUGGUUAUGUGCUACUUCUCAAACAACAGCGCCAGAAAUUGACACGUUGACGGAGACUUGCUUGCGUUGGUUUUUCCCUUGAAGAGGAAAGGGUGAUGCAGCACAGGAGCAGUAAGUAUUUCCCUCAGUUUGAGAACCAAGGUAUCAAUCCAGUAGGAGAAUCUCGUCAAGUCCAGAGUACCUGCGCAAACACAAAAGAGAUUGCACCCAACGAUAUAAAGGGGUUGUCAAUCCCUUCAAGAUUGAUUGCAAAGUGAGAUCUGAAGGCGGAAAGUGCAACGAAGAAAAAGAGUAAGGCUGAAAAUAUGGUGUGAAGUAGACCCGGGGGCCAUAGUGUUCACUAGAGGCUUCUCUCAAAAUAGAAAAUAUUACGGUGGGUGAACAAAUUACUGUCGAGCAAUUGAUAGAACCGCACAAAGUCAUGACGAUAUCUUAGGCAAUGAUCAUACAUAUAGGCAUCACGUCCGAGACAAGUAGACCAAUACUUUCUGCAUCUACUAUUAUUACUCCACACGUCGACCGCUAUCCAGCAUACAUCUAGUGUAUUGAGUUCAUGACGAACAGAGUAACGCCUUAAGCAAGAUGACAUGAUGUAGAGGGAUAAACUCAAACCAAUGAUGAAAACCCCAUAUUUUUAACCUUGAUGGCAACAACACGAUGUGUGCCUCGCUGCCCCUUCUGUCACUGGAUGAGGUCACCGCACAGUAUGAACCCAAAACCAAGCACUUCUCCCAUUGCAAGAAUCAUAGAUCAAGCUGGUCAAACAAAACCCACAACUCGAAGAGAAUUACAAGGAUAUGAAAUCAUGCAUAAGAGAGAGAAGAAACUCAAAUAAUAUUCAUAGAUAAUCUGAUCAUAAAUCCACAAUUCAUCCGAUCUCGACAAACACACCGCAAAAGAAGAUUACAUCGGAUAGAUCUCCAUGAAGAUCAUGGAGAACUUUGUAUUGAAGAUCCAAGAGAGAGAAGAAGUCAUCUAGCUACUAGCUAUGGACCCAUAGGUCUAUGGUGAACUACUCACGCAUCAUCGGAGAGGUCAUGGUGUUGAUGAAGAAGCCCUCCGUAUCCGAAUCCCCCCUCCAGCAGGGCACCAGAAUGUGCCCCAGAUGGGAUCUUGCGGAGUCAGAAGCUUGCGGCGGCGAAAAAGUGUUUUCGUGGCUCCCCUGAUUUUUUCUGGAAUUUAUGGGAAUAUAUAGGCGAAAGACCUAGGGCAGAGGAGGCCCAAGGGGCCCACAAGCCUGGGAGGCGCGCCCCCCUGGCCGCGGCUAGGGGGCUUGUGGGGUCCCUGGUGGGCCCCUCACUUGGUUCUCAAGUCCCCGAUCGUCUUCUGUUUCGGAAAAAAUAUUUUUGGAAGUUUCAUUCCGUUUGGACUCCGUUUAAAAUCCUCCUCUGAAAAAGGGUCAAAAACACGGAAAAAACAGGAACUGGCACUUGGCACUAAGUUAAUAAGUUUGUCCCAAAACAGAUAUAAAAGGCAUACAAAACAUCCAAAGUUUGACAAGAUAAUAGCACGAAACCAUAAAAAAUUAUAGAUGCGUUGGAGACGUAUCAUUAUGUUGUUGUCCUUUGGUGCCCAUCAUAUGAGCGCGCGCGUGGAUCACACCAUAGGGUUAGUAGUAUGUUGAUAGGACUAUGUAUUGGAGGGCAGGGGUGACAGAAGCUUCAGCCUAGCAUAGAAAUUGAUGCAUACGGGAUUGAAGGGGGACCAAUAUAUCUUAUUGCUAUGGUUGGGCUUUACCUUAAUGAACGUUAGUAGUUGCGGAUGCUUGCUAAUAGUUCCAAUCAUAAGUGCAUAGAAUUCCAAGUAAGGGAUGACAUGCUAGCAGUGGCCUCUCCCACAUAAAACUUGUUAUCGGUCUAGUAACAUAGUCAAUUGCUUAGGGACAAUUCCGCAACUCCUACCACCACUUUUCCACACUCGUUAGACUAACGUAAUUGUUUCUUUAUCUAACCAGCCCCUAGUUUUUAUUUACGUGUUCUUUAUUUUCUUGCAAACCUAUCCUUUCUCGUCUACAAAGUACUUCUAGUUUCUUACUUGUUCUAGGUAAAGCGAACGUAAAGUGUGCGUAGAGUUGUAUCGGUGGUCGAUAGAACUUGAGGGAAUAUUUGUCCUACCUUUAGCUCCUCGUUGGGUUUGACACUCUUACUUAUCGAGAAAGGCUACAAUUGAUCUCCUAUACUUGUGGGUUAUCAACCACCAGGGGCUGGUCCACCUCUUCUCAUAGCCCACAAGGCUCUUGGGUCGUCACACCCCUCCCGGUGGUCCCCAGGCACCCUCUCGGCACUCUCAAUACACUACUAAUGAGCCCGAGACCUUUCUGGUGACCAAAACUAGACUUCCUAUAUAUCAAUCUUUACCUAUGGACCAUUCCGGAGCUCCUCGUGACGUCUAGGAUCUCAUCCGGGACUCCAAACAACCUUCGUUCACCAACACCUAUAACUCAACUAUACCAAAACAUCAUCAAACCUCAAGUGUGCAGAUCCUGCAGGUUCGAGAACUAUGCAGCCAUGACCGAGACACUCUCCGGUCAAUAUCCAAUAGCGGGACCUGGAUGUUCAUAUUGGAUUCUACAUAUUCUACGAAGAUCUUACCGGUUGAACCUCUAUGUCAAGGAUUCACACAAUCCCGUAUACCAUUUCCUUUGUCCUUCGGUAUGUUACUUGCCCGAGAUUCGAUCGUCGGUAUCGACAUACCUAUUUCAAUCUCGUUACCGGCAAGUCUUUUUUACUCGUUUCGUAAUACAAGAUCUUGUGGCUAACUCUUUAGUCACAUUGCUUGCAAGGCUUGUUUGUGAUGUUGUAUUACCGAGUGGGCCGCGAGAUACCUCUCUGUCACACGGAGUGACAAAUCCCAGUCUUGAUCCAUGCUAACUCAAUGAACACCUUCGGAGAUACCAGUAGAGCACAUUUAUAGUCACCCAGUAAUGUUGCGACGUUUGAUACACCCAAGUCAUUCCUCCGGUGUCAGCGAGUUACAUGAUCUCAUGGUCAUAGGAACGUAUACUUCACAUGGAGAAAACAAUAGCAACAAAAUAACAUGAUCAUAUGCUACGUUUAUAGUUUGGGUCUUGUCCAUCAUAUCAUUCUCCUAAUGAUGUGAUCCCGUUAUCAAGUGACAACACUUGUCUAUAGGCAGGAAACCUUGACCAUCUUUGAUCAACGAGCUAGUCAACUAGAGGCUCACUAGGGGCAGUGUGUUGUCUAUGUAUCCACACAUGUAUUUGAGUUUCCAAUCAAUACAAUUCUAGCAUGGAUAAUAAAUGAUUAUCAUGAACAAGGAAAUAUAAUACUAAACAAUUUAUUAUUGCCUCUAGGGCAUAUUUCCAACAGUCUCUCACUUGCACUAGAGUCAAUAAUCUAGUUCACAUCACUAUGUGAUUGUAAUGAAUCUAACACCCACAUAUUUGUGGGGUUCGAUCAUAUCUUGCUUGUGAGAGAGAUUUUUAGUCAACAGGUUUGAAUCUUUCAGAUCCGUGUGUGCUUUACAAAUAUCUAUGUAAUCCUAUAGAUGCUCCUACCACGCGCCAUUUGGAACUAUUCCAAAUGUCUGCUCUACUAUAUGAAUCUGGUUUACUACUCAGAGUUAUUCGGAUUAGUGUCAAAGCUUGCAUCGAUGUAACCCUUUACGACGAACUCUUUUAUCACCUCCAUAAUCAAGAAAAAUUCCUUGGUCCACUAGUAACUAAGGAUAACCUUUGACCGUUGUCCAGUAAUCCACUCCUGGAUCACUUUCGUACCCCUUGACAGAUUCAUGGCAAGGCACGCAUCAGGUGCGAUACACAACAUAGCAUACUGUAGAGCCUACGGCUAAUGCAUAGGGGACGACCUUCAUCCUUUCUCUUUCUUCUGCCGUGGUCGGGCUUUGAGUCUUACUCAAAUUCACACCUUACAACACAACUAAGAACUCCUUCUUUGCUGAUCUAUUUUCAAAUUCCUCAAAAACUUGUCAAGGCAUGCAUUUCAUUGAAAGUUCUAUUAAGCGUUUUGAUCUAUCUCUAUAGAUCUUGAUGUUCAAUGUUUCAAGUAGCUCUAUCCAGGUUUUCCGUAAAAAACUCCUUUCAAACAACCCUUUAUGCUUUCCAGAAAUUCUACAUUACUUCUGAUCCACAAUAUGUCAACCACAUAUACUUAUCAGAAAUUCUAUAGUGCUCCCACUCACUUCUUUGGAAAUACAAGUUUCUCACAAACCUUGUAUAAACCCAAAAUCUUUGACCAUCUCAUCAAAGUGUAUAUUCCAACUCCGAGAUGCUUGCUUCAGUCCAUAGAAGGAUCGCUGGAGCUUGCAUACUUGUUAGCAUCCUUAGGAUCGACAAAACCUUCUGGUUGUAUCACAUACAACCUUUCCUUAAGGAAACCAUUGAGGAAACAAUGUUUUGACAUCCUAUCCGCAAGAUUUCAUAAAUAAAUGCAGCAACUGCUAACAUAAUUCCAACAGACUUUUAGCAUCGCUACGAGUGAGAAAGUCUCAUCAUAGUCAAGUCUUUGAACUUGUCACAAACAUCUUUGCGACAAGUCGAGCUUUCUUAAUGGUGACCUUUCACCAUCAUCGUCUGUCUUCCUUUAAAUAUCCAUCUGUACUUAACAGUCUUACAACCAUCAAGUAGUUCUUCCAAAGUCUACAAUUUGUUUUCAUAUAUGGAUCAUCUCUCGGAUUUCAUGGCCUCCAGCCAUUUGUCUGAAUCUGGGCCCACCAUCGCUUCUCCAUAGUUCGUAGGUUCAUUGUUGUCCAAAAGCAUGACCUCCAAGACAGAGUUACCGUACCACUUUCGAGCAGUACGUGACCUUGUCGACCUACGAAGUUUGUAGUAACUUGAUGCGAAGUUUCAUGAUCACUAUCAUCAUCUUCCACUUCAAUUGGCGUAGGCGCCACAGGAACAACUUCUUGCGCCCUGCUACACACUGGUUGAAGUGACGGUUCAAUAAACUCAUCAAGUUUCCACCAUCCUCCCACUCAAUUCUUUCGAGAGAAACAAUUUCUCGAGAAAGGACCCGUUUCUAGAAACAAACACUUUGCUUCCGGAUCUGAGAUAGGAGAUGAACCCAACUAUUUUGGGUAUCCAAUGAAGAUGCAUUUAUCCGCUUUGGAUUCGAGCUUAUCAGGCUGAAACUUUUUCACAUAAGCGUCGCAACCCCAAAAUUUUAAGAAACGACAACUUAGGUUUCUCCAAACCAUAGUUCAUAUUGUGUCGUCUCAACGGAAUUACGUAGUGCCCUAUUUAAAGUGAAUGCGGUUGUCUCUAAUGCCUAACUCAAAAACAAUAGUGAUAAUUCGAUAAGAGACAUCAUAGUAUGCACCAUAUCCAAUAGGGCGCAACUAUGACGUUCGGACACACCAUCACACUAUGGUGUUCCAGGCAGCAUGAGUUGUGAAACAAUUUUCACAUUGUCUUAAUUGUGUACCAAACUCGCAACUCAGAUAUUCAUCUCUAUUAUCAUAUCAUAGACAUUUUAUCCUCUUGUCACGAUGAUCUUCAACUUCACUCUAAAAUUACUUGAACCUUUCAAUAAUUCAGACAUGCAUUUUAUCAAGCAAAUACACUAGUAUCUACUCAAAUCAUCUGUGAAGUUAUAACAUAACGAUAUCCACUGCGUGCCUCAGUACUCAUUGGACUACAUGCAUCAAAAUGUAUUACUUCCAAUAAGUUACUUUCUUGUUCCAUCUCACUGAAAACGAGGCCUUCAGUCAUCUUGCCCGAGUGGCAUGAUUUGCAUGUCUCAAGUGAUUCAAAACCAAGUGAGUCCAAGCAAUCCAUCUACACGGAGUUUCUUCAUGCGUUUACACCAAUAGGCAUGGUUCUCAUGUCUCAAACGAUUCAAAAACGAGUGAGUCCAAAGAUCCAUCGGUAUGGAGCUUCUUCAUGCAUUUUACACCAAUAUGACUCAAGCGGCAGUGCCACAAGUAAGUGGUACUAUCAUUACUACUUUGUAUCUUUCGGCAACAAUAUUAUGAACAUGUGUAUCACUACGAUCGAGAUUCAAUAAACCAUUCAUUUUAGGUGCAAGACCAUUGGAGGUAUUAUUCAAAUAAAUAGAGUAACCAUUAUUCUCUUUAAAUGAAUAACCGUGUUGCGAUAAACACAAUCUAAUCAUGUCUAUGCUCAACGCAAACACCAAAUAACAAUUAUAUAGGUUUAACACUAAUCCCGAUGGUAAAGGGAGCGUGCGAUGUAGUUUCAUGAAGUAUCCCUUCUUGCCCUUGCCCUUCUUGAAACUAGUGGUUUUACUAACCAUCAACAAUUGGUGCUCCUUUUUUAUUUCUACUUUCGGAGUGUCAAAAUAGUGAAUAGCUCAAGGAUCAUCAUAUCUAUCUCUGAUGUGUUAUAGUUCACCACGAAGCUCUAGUAGCUUGGUGGCAGUGACUUUGGAGAACCAUCACUAUCUUAUCUCGAAGAUUAAUUCCCACUCGAUUCAAGCGAUUGUAGCACUCAAACAAUCUGAGCACAUGCUCAAUGAUUGAGCUUUUCUCCCUUACUUUGUAGACAAAUAAUCUUGUCGGAUGUCUCAUACCUCUCAACAAGGGCACGAGCAUGAAAUCACAAUUUCAUCUCUUGGAACAUAUCAUAUGUUCUGUGACAUUCAAAACGUCUUCGGCGCCUCAAUUCUAAGUCGUUAAGCAUUACGCACUGAACCAUCACGUAGUCAUCAAAAACAUGUAUGUAAGAUGUUCACAACAUCCACAGACGACGCUCAAGCUUCAGCAGACCGAGCGGUGCAUUAAGGACAUAAGCCUUCUGUGCAGCAAUGAGGACAAUCCUCAGUUUACGGACCCAGUCCGUAUAAUUGCUACUAUCAACUUUCAACUAAAAUUUCUCUAGGAACAUAUUUAAAACAGUAGAGCUACAACGCAAGCUACAACAUAAUUUGCAAAGACCUUUUGACUAUGUUCAUGAUAAUGAGUUCAAUUAAUCAUAUUACUUAAGAAUUCCCACUCAAAUAGACAUCCCUCUAGUCAUUCGAGUAGUGCAUGAUCCAAAUUCACUAACUCAAGUCCGAUCAUCACGUGAGUUGAGAUUAGUUUCAAUGGUGAACAUCUCCAUGUUUAUCAUAUGAACUAUAUGAUUCAUGCUCGACCUUUCAAUCUCUUGUGUUCCGAGGCCAUGUCUGUACAUGCUAGGGUCGUCAAGUUUACCCGAGUGUUCCGUGUGUGCGGCUGUUUUGCACAUGUUGUAUGUGAACGUUGAGUCUAUCAUACCCGAUCAUCACGUGGUGUCUCAAAAUGACGAAUUGUCGCAAUGGUGCACAGUCGGGGAGAACACAAUUUUAUCUUGAAAUUUUAGUGAGGGAUCACCUUAUAAUGCUACCGUCGUCCUAAGAAAAAUAAGGUGCAUAAAAGGAUUAACAUCACAAGCAAAUCAUAAGUCACAUGAUAUGGCCAUGAACUUGUGCUUCUUCAUCUCUAUCACCAAAGCACCGGCAUGAUCUCUAUCGUCAUCGGCGCCGCACCAUGAUCUCCAUUAUCGUGCUUCCAUCAAGGUUGUCGCGCUAUCUAUGAUGUUACUACUAAAGUUGUUGCCUAGCGAUAUAGCAAGAGCAUGUGCAAGCGCAAAAUAAAUUUAAAGACAACCAUAUGGCUCCUGUCGGUUGCCGUAGCAUCGACGUGCAAGUCGAUAUAUUGAACUAUUACAACAUGAUCAUCUCAUACAUCUAAUAUAUCAUAUCAUGUCAUUGGCCAUAUCACAUCACAAACAUACCCUGCAAAAACAAGUUAGACGUCCUCUAAUUUGUUGUUGCAUAUUUUACGUGGCUGUUAUGGGUAUCUAGUAUGAUUGCAUCUUACUUACGCAAUGCCAUAACGGUGAUAUGCAAAUUGCUAUUUAACCUUCUCCAAGGACCGCCUUGGUCAAAUCCAAUUCAACUAAAGUUGAAGAAACAGACACCCGCCAGUCAUGGGCCGCUUCAGUCCAACAAUGUUGCCGAAUCAAGAAAAGACUCGGGAGGGCAGCAAAUUGAACAUCAACGCCCACAAACUCUUUUGUGUUCUACUCGAGAUAUCAUCUACGCAUGAACCUAGCUCAUGAUGCCACUGUUGGGGAACGUUGCAUGGGAAACAAAAAAAAUCCUACUCACCGAAGACCUAUCAUGGUGAUGAUCAUCUACACAUACCCUUGUAGAUCACUAGGUGGGAAGCGUUAAGAAACGCGGUUGAUGUAGUGGAACGUCUUCGCGAUCCAAAUCGAUGCCGUCCCACGAUCCGUCCGAUCUAGCGCCGAACGGACGGCACCUCCGCGUUCAGCACACGUACAUCUCGACGAUGACUUCUGCCUUCUUGAUCCAGCAAGAGGGGGAGGAUAGGUAGAUGAGUUCUUCGGCAGCGCGACGGUGUGACGGCGAUGGUGGUGGAGCUAGUCCAACAGGGCUUCGCCUAAGCACCGCUGAAAACUAGACCAGAGGAGAAACGGAUCUAGAGAGAGGGCACAACGUGGUUGAUUGUUGUGUCUCAAAAACCCUCAAAACCUUUAGUAUAUAUAGGAGGAGAGGAGAGGAGGCAUCCUUGGCCCCUCCUCCAAGGAGAGGGGUCGGCCGAACCAAAGGAAGAGUCCAACUUCCUUGUGGGAAGGUGGACUACUUUGGGAGGACUCCUCCUUCCCUUCCUUUUAAAAGUCCUUUACCCUUUUAUCUCUUCUCCUAGCCGCAUGGGCCUUUGAGAGAGGCUUGGGCCAGCCCACCAGGGAAUGGUCCACCUCUUCUCACAGCCCACAAGGCUCUUGGGUCGUCACACCCCUCCCGGUGGUCCACCGGCACCCUCCCGGCACUCCCGGUACACUACCGAUGAGCCCGAAACCUUUCCGGUGACCAAAACAGGACUUCCUAUGUAUCAGUAUUUACCUUCGGACCAUUCCGGAGCUCCUCGUGACGUCCAGGAUCUCAUCCGGGACUCCGAACAACCUUCGGUCACCAACACCUAUAACUCAACUAUACCGAAUCGUCAUCAAGUUUUAUGACACGGUUGCUCUGUUGAAGGCAAGAUGACCAUUGCGGAUGGCAACAAAGAAGAUCAUGAGUUUCGCUUCUUUUUACUCAACUUGGAUUUAAUCAUUCAUUCACUUAAUGUGCUUUACACAAUGUAUAGCCAGUACGAUUUAUCAUGGGAUAGAGGGAUGGCAUUGGUUAGAAGCUUAAAAAAUCUUUUUACUCGAAUGUUGAGGCAUCUAUCUUCAGGCCCAGCCCUGAGGGGGGGCGAGCGGGGCGGCCGCCCCGGGCCCCCAUGUGCCAAGGGGCCCCCAAUUCUGCUCUUAGUUGGCCUAGCACCUAGCCUAGAAUGCCGAUAUAUUUAUCCACUCCUGCAAUCUUUUCCUUGAUUUACGUACUCCAACAAGAGAAAAUGGGCGUCCAACUCCUGCAAUCUUUUCCCAAAUUUUUCUCACCUUCCUUCAUUCGUGUGCUAGUAGUACGACUCAGGGCCCUUGUGAUUGAUUACUAGAGCAGUUAGUGCAUGCAAUUAAUUCAGCGUAGUUGUGAUAAAAAAUCCGCUCUUAUUUUAUUCCUUAAUCUUGUAGCAAAAAAUGCCUUCCUUAGUCCACAUGCCUAAAGUUAUGCACCUAAUUUGUGAGAAAAUUAGAAAAACAUAACUAAUGGAAAGUGACAAUGCCACACAUGAAUGAGAAUAGAUCAAAAUCGUGAUCGUGAAGAAUAAAUCAAGAUCGGGAAGCUUAAUAUCCAUCUACUAUGCGUGCAUGGUGCCGCCUCAGGUCAGAGCAGGUCUAUUUCGAAGGAGGGCUGGACUGCCGGAGAUAGUGAGCACGACCUCGCACAAGACAACACGGACUCGCCGGGAGGCUAGAUCGUACUGUUAGGGUACGAUUACAAUUAUAGAAGCAAAGGUAUGUCUCUAAUCAUUAUUUGUACCGAUAGUCUAUGACCUAGCUAGGAAAUUUUAUCAUGAUGGUAUGAAUGAUCAUCGACAUGGCCUCUGCGCUGUUGCAAUUGGAUACUAAUAAUCGAUUUAUGAGUAUUGUUAAUGGAUAGAUAAAAUUGGAUUUGAUUUUUUUGUUUGGCAACUUGCUUGUAAUUGCUAUGGAGGUACACACUAGUCUGAAAUCUAAAUGGAUGACAACGUGAGUGAUCAUUGGGAGUUAAAUCAUGGAAGAGGUCCAUUUUGAACCCUGAACUCGUACAUGUCUGCCGAAAUUGACCCCCAAGUACAAAUCCCUGUCGAUUGCACCCUGAAGUAACAAAUCCAGAUUUAAAUCUAACCUUAGAGUGGUUUGAUGCUAAUAACUGACGACAUGGCCGUAGUCAACCAGGAUUUUGACGGGUGGGACCAUUUCUUAACUGCACCGCACCUACUCCAACGGAAAUAUCCAGUCGAUUGGGGAACAAAGCUAGGGUUCAUCGGGCGGUGAGAAAUCAGAUGAGGGCGGAGGAGAAAUCAUAGUGCCACGGCGGAGGCUAGCGCCGGAGAGGGAGAGGGAUAUGUCGUGGUUGUGGAGUGCUGAUGUGUCGGCUCGAGGAUUCCGUCGUGAUGCAGGAAGGCGAGCGGCAGAUGCGCGUUCGCCGGUGCGCUACCGCGAGGAUGCCAUGGCGUACGAGCCUGCGAAGAUGUGCUGGUGCGAUCCUCCGAAGAAGGCACCGCGCUGGAUCUCGUGGAGCCAUCAAAAUCCAGGAAGGAGAUACUACUCCUGCAUGGACGCGCUGGUGAGUUCCCCAUAUCUUAUCCUCUCUGUUUGAUUUUCUUCUCCUCUAUGUUUGAUUUCUUCUCCUCUCUGUUUUGAUUGUUUCUUCUCUCUGCAUUUGAACAACAUGGUGGCUGCGGCUAUGUUGAGUGGCAUGACUCUGAGCUGCCCAAAUUUCUAAGUGACCUGAUUGGUGAUCUUCGUGAUGAGGUGUGGAUGCUGAAAGGGCAGAGGAGUGUGUCUCAAGUGGAAGAUCACACUGCAACUAUGACUGCCAAUGAUGAUGAAACAACAAUGAUGCUUGUAUCUGUGCAAGAUGAACUGAGGGAGAAGAAUGAAGAAUUGCUUGCUGUGAAGGCCAAAUAUGAUAAUGUUGUAUUUGUGUUCACUGUGUUUGUGUUGGGUGUAGUUGCAAGCAAGAUGUUCAUGCAGUGUUGGCUUUGUAAGCAAUGUAGUUGCACUGCAGUUGCAAUGUAGUUUGCUAUGGACAAGUACUAGAUCAUUGUAAUAAUUAUGGUGUGUGCAAUGUAACAAGUUUGUGUUAAAUUGUCCCUGUCAUUUUGGAUUCCAUCUAUUUUAUAGCAUCCAUAGCAUAGAGCAUCUAUUUUAGAUCUUAAUUGUACUCCAGUAUAGCAUAUAGGUCAUAUAACAUCCAUAGCAUCCAUUGCAUCCAUUGCAACAUGAUAGUAACAUCCAUUACAGGGCAUAUACCAUCCAUAACCUGAUACAUGUUUGUUUUCAGGCUAUCACAAAAGUAGAUGUUUGCAAUAUUACAUUUCAAAUGUUUUCAACACUGCAACAUCAUCAAAAGUAGUAGAACAUGCAAGCUGUUGGCAUAACUAGUAGUUUACACUGCAGGUGAAGUACUUGUAGCUUGGAACUCAGGAUGCAACCCUUCUUCCUCUCUUUGCUCCAGUUCCUCUCACUGUAGAAGUAGAUGCUCCAGGUGUUGUGACUGAAGAUGAUCCAGCUGCAGUAGUUGCAGCUCUCUUCCUUGGAGGCUUGAACUUGUUGGCAUUAGUACCAGGUGCAGAGGCUUGAGGUGCACUGGUUCUAGCUGCUGCUUGUUGAGCAGGUGCACCGGUUCUAGCUGCUGCUUGUUGAGCAGGUGCACUGUUAGUACUUGCUGGUUGUGGGUGUGGUUGAGAUGCAGAGCCAGAACCAGAUGCUUGCUGGUAUUUGAUUAAGACGGAAAAUAGUUAGGCAUUUAAAAUAAUGUAAAAGCAUAUGCAAGCAUAUAAUUGACUAGAAGCAUUUAAAUUCAUGUAAGAGCAUGUGCAAGCAUUUAAAUUCAUAUAUACCUCAAUUGUGCUCUUUUUCUUGCUAGUUUUGGUGAGAUGUGCAUUCUUCUUCUUUCCUCUCUCAGGAUUCUUCUUGCAACCUGACUUGUUGUGUCCAGCUUCUCCACACAUAGAACAUUUAAUUAUGGUUCCAUGUUUGCUCAUUUUUUUGCCUUAGGAGCUUAUGUUUCUUCUCUUCUCUUGUCAUUUUUAGGCCUUCCAGGCAUUCUCACAUAACUAGGAGCUUGAGGCCUAGGAUUCUGAGAUACAGGCCACAUCUCCUCCCCUUCCACUGGCUGCAAGCAAGGACCAUAUAUUUUCUUGAAAACCUCAACUGAGUAGCAAGGAUGAAUAUACUCAUCAAUUGUCUUCUUACACUUGUAGAUAGCAGAAAUGACAUGGUGGCAGGGGAGACCAGACAACUGGAAUUACCCACAAGAGCAUGUCCUUGCUUAAAUAUCAACAGUGUACUGCCUUCCCCUUCCAUUGAUAUGCUUCACUUCAUACCCAUUUUCUCCAUUCCAAAUCACUUCAAGAUAUUGUGUCCAAGCAAUAGAUUUUUUGAGCUUCUUUAAGAUACCAGGGCAUAUUGUCCCUGUCAUUUUCUCACCCUUCUCCUUCUGCUCUUGAAUUCUCACAAAUAUCUUUUUCCUGAUCUUCUCUAGCAUGGAAAUCAGUGGAUAGAACCUAGCAUCAACAAUUGCAUGGUUAAAUGACCCACAUAGAUUAUUGUCAACUGACUCACAAUUUGUUCCCACUGGAAAAAAGCCCUAGCCCAAUGCACUGGCUCUGUCUUCGUCAUGUCUUGAGCUCCUUCAGGUGUCUCUUGUGCAAGCUUGGCCUUGUAAUAGUUGAAAUCUUGCUGAUUGGAUGCUUUGGCAACAUCCCAGAAUUUUUUCUGCCAAUCAUGAGCUCUGUGCUUCUUCCUCCACUUAGCAUAUAUGUGUCUAGCACACAUUAUGUGCUCUGCAGCUGGAAGAUAGUCCUUCAUGGCAUUGAUUAGGCCCUUCUUUUGGUCAGAGAUAAAUACCCACCCUUCUCCAUUGUUGUUGAUGUCAAGAUCCUUUAUGAGUAAACCAAUAAACCACUUCCAAGUUUCAUUGGUUUCCUGCUCAACUGCAGCCCAAGCAAGUGGAUACAUCUGAUUGUUAGCAUCCCUCCCUAUGGCACACAAUAACCCACCCUUCACUCCCCUUUGAAGAAGCAUCCAUCUAGACCUAUCAGUUUCCUGCAUCCAGCCUUGAAUCCUUGCUUCAUUGCAUUGAAACAAACAUAGAAACUCUGAAAUAUAUUUUGGUCCAUGUUUGAAGGAUCAAGGCACACAUCAACAAUGCUUCCUCGAUUGCUCCUAAGCAGCUCCAAUUGAUAAUCAAACACCCUGGUAUAUUCAUUCUUCAUACCACUCAUCAAUCUCUCCAUCACAAUUGCCUAUGCAUGCUUGCACUUUGAGGUUGAAACAUCAGCAAACAUGUCUUUCAGCACUGUGGCAUUCAUGCUUUCAAUUUUCCACAUAGGAUUAGCUAGCAUGAAGUGCUCAUACCUCUGUGCAAUCAAUUUAGCAGUCACAAGCUUGUUGCAUCUGUUCUGUGCACAUUCAUGAUGAUCAUUAAAUGUGAUCACUUGGAAUCUAGAUGUUCUUGACCUCUUAGCUGCAUAGAUGAGCCAAGGGCAACCAUCCCAUCCACACUUGGCCCUAACCCUGUCACUUUCUGAUUUCAAGAACCUGAUACUCCUCUUAGUAACUAGACCAUACCUUCUCAAAGCUUUGCAAAACUGGUUCUUGGUUCUGAAAAUCAUGUUCAAUUCAAAGUGGGGUAUCUCAGUGUCAUUAUUAUACCUGAUGAACUGGCUCUUUCUCUUCACUAACACCCCAUCUGAAUCUUCAUCAUAACUAUAUUCCUCAUCAGAAGAAUCAUACUUCCAGUCAUCUUGUUCUGUUGCUAUUUGUUGCUCCAUGUUGGCAAUAAGAUCAAUUGGUACUGGACCUGUUGCAUCACUUCCAAUCCAACUCUUGCUAUCUCUCAUUUUUUUCUUGAACUUCCUAGCAUGUCUCCUUAGCUCCACAACCUCUCAAUCUUCUCAACUGUCAUCACUAUGUGGAAUGUACACAAAGUCACUGUCUGAAUCAGAAUCAGAAUCAGCAACAUCAUUCCCUUCUGCAGCAAGUGUGUGUUGAGUUGGAUCAAGCACUUGAGAAAAAUGGUCCUUCACUAACAUUUGGAGGUUCAGUCACAUUGUCAUGCCUUCCAGUGCUUCUGUGCUUCUGAGGACUGCUAAUAACUUGUCUGACCACACCUGUUGCAUCAGUGAUAAGCACAUCAGUGUCAGAUUUAGCAGGCUCUGCAGCUCUGAUCACAACAUCAGGUUCAAAAUCUGUCCAAUAAACUAUCUCAUCCUCAAAGUCACUCGUAGUGCUACUCUCAGCACUAUCUUCUUCUCCAUGGUACUCUACAUAGACAUAUGCAAUAGCACCAACAUCUACAUAAUCUACCAUCUUAAGACAUUUGUUGUCAUCAUCCAGAAACAUCAAGCCAUUCACAAGUUCUUGACCAGGAAUUAAGAAAUAAAACUUCAUAGACUCCUUCAGUGCAAUGUGAUCCUUCAAAAAGCCCUUUACUUCCUGCAGAGAUAAUUUGUCCCUUUCUAUGUGUGACAUAGCUUCAUCUCCUAGAGAUCAAAAGAGCUGAGAAUGAGUCGUCAAAUAAGCUCUACGUUAAGAGAAUGGUGGAAACCAGCGCGCAAACUUCAUUCUCUCCUAGGAUGCAUCAUGGGAAAAUCUCAAGACGAUAUAGUCAUCCCUUUGGUCUUAUUGACAUAAGAGAUGGCAUUUAUAGUCUAUCUCUUUCUAUAUAUGGAAAGUCAAGAAAUUCUCAUCGAAACAUCGAGAAAUUGCAUCAUAUUGCAGAUUGGGGCCAGUACGAAUGAAUUCCCCACCCAGAUGGAAACAGACAUGCAAAAUCUCGGUGGGAUCCAUGCUAUCACUGCAGUAGACAAAUAGUAGGAGCAAAAAUUAACCUAUAUGUACAUUUCAACAUCGAAAUCUACGGCUAAAUCGAAGAAAUCGCAACUUGUUUGCCCGAAAAAAACCCUACCCCAAAACCUUUGUAAACCCUAACAAAAUUGCCGCAAUGAGAGCCUAAACUAUGAGUAUCGGAGGAGGAGGGCAUCGGGGUGUUUACCUCCACUUGUUUGCGCUGCCGCGCCGUCACGAUCGUCGCCGUACAGCCGAUCACCCGCCGGUCGCCAUUGCUGCCGCGCGAGAGAGGUGGAAGAGGGGAAGGCAUGGAGGAGGUGGAGUUGUGGAGGGCUCUUCAACCUCGCGGGCCUGUCCAACACCCUCCCAGACCAGAAUUAGUGGGCCGACCCAGUCCAGCUGUGCUCUUUACGGUCCAGCCCGUCGCCAACGCAAGCAUUCCUGGCCACAUGACCAAUCCCCGUUUGGCAAAGCACACAAAGGUUCAAUUUAGACCGGGAUUUGUUACUUGAGGGUGCAAUCGACAGGGAUUUGUAUUUGGGGGUCAAUUUCGGCAGACAUCUACCAGUUCAGGGUUCAAAAUUGACUUUUUCCUUAGAUCAUCCAUUAGUCUCUUUUUUUUGCGAACAAAAUCAUCCAUUAGUCUUGACCGUGUGCGAGUUUUCACUGUAUCUGAUUAGGAUAAAUAAACCAGGAAAUAAAUUUAACAGUAAAGCUACCGAAUGCAUUAGUAAAGAGAGACUUAUAAGUGAAAAUUAUUCUAUUUUCUUUUAUUAGUGAUUCAAAAUAUUUUUUGCUAUACUUAUUUGUCUUUAUGUUUAGGUCUUUAGUAAAAAAGACCCUAGAUUUAGUUUCACCCUGGGCCCCUGAAAUCUCAGGACCGGCCCUGUCUAUCUUGUCAUGAUUCUCGUGGCAAGUUGCAACCAACACUGUUAACUAAAGUCACCGCAACGGAGGCUUUACUGGAUUGGGAACAGAGAAAUAGAAUUGUAGAAACACAUUACUACAGCCGCUGAAAUUACUCAGUAUUGAUCUUUAGCUCCUUUGGUCGGAGGGUGCAAUUUUACUUUGUGUUGCAUGUCCUGGUUCCUUCUCUUUCAACAAAGCCUGGCAAUAAUCUUCGGUUUUGUUUCCAAAAGCAUGUUAUUAUACACCAGUGUUUCUGGAAUUCUCUUCCUCUCUGACGCCAUGUCUUCCGGGUGACUGUUGAGCUGGGAGCGGGAAGGGAGCAAUCGGCUGGAAGCACCACAAGAACUGCAAACACAUUGACUAUGCUGUCUUAUGUUCUACCUGUACUCCUUAAGGAAUUUGCAAACAGCAAAGUCGUUGUAGUAUAGUGGUAAGUAUUCCCGCCUGUCACGCGGGUGACCCGGGUUCGAUCCCCGGCAACGGCGAAUUUUUUUCUCUCUCGUUUCUUGCACUUUAAGAUUUCUCCCCUCCCUGGUUUCCUUCUUUUUCUGAAUGAUUGAAAAGCAAAUUGCUUUCCGACGGGCGUUUCUUUCCUGUUUUGAAACGGAACGCGAACAUUCUCCUGCUUGUAGCCGGUUUCGGAUUGGGCGCGAGUCAGUCAAUAAAAGAUGGGUUUGAAGCCAACACGUUCCAUCCUCUCAUCCCUUGCCGUCGAUCGGGAACCAACUCCGCCUUCAACUACUAGAAGCUCCCAUCCAUCGCGCAUCUGCUGAUCGGUCAAUGGACGAGAGGGUUUCGCUGAUGAUGAUGCAGCCGGACGACUCCGCCCGCGCGGCUGUCCUCGCGCUCCCGUCGCCUUUGGCUUUGGCGGGCGACAAGGAGGAAGAAGAGCCGGUUUUCGGGGACGACGAGGACGAGGAGUUGUAUGGCAGCGAUGAUGAAAGCUACUAUGAGGAGGACAGCGACGACGAGGUCGACGUCCCGCUCAAGAUCGAUGCAGUCGUCGCGGCCGGGGCGAGCGGCGUCACGGGCGGGCCGCCACUACACCGGUGGCUGUACGUACCCGAAGGCCGAUUCCUUGGGCCGGCACCGCGGUUCGCCUCCGCGGGGAACACGGCCGGCUUCCUGGGCGUCGCCGUCGUGGUGCCGCCGCCGGCUGAUCUCCCGGCUGCCAGUAGCCAAGGACAAGCAGGUGGCAAGGAGAUCUUGGUCCUCUACCGGUAUACCGAGUUUGAGGCGGCGCCCGGCGACCUGGGGCUGGAGGUGUCCAAGAAGACGAAACUGCACUAUCUCCGGUUCGCCGUCCCGCCGGCCGGCGACGCGGCGGGCUCGCUCCAGUGGGCAGGGGCGUCGCUGGCGCCGCUCAUAUACCCCUCCCACCACAGCAGCGAGCUCCAGGCCCUGUGGUCCAAGCUGGUCUCAAACGUGGCCGUGUGCAUCCCGCCGGGGACCACGCGUCUCAAGGUGAUCGCCGACGUCGGCAUCCUCCGGCUCGAGGACUACACGCCGGGUCGCAUGGAUGUCGUGAUGGACGCGCUGCAGGGAAUGAUAGCGGAUCCAUGGCCCGGGUACCACGUCGCCAUGGAGCUGAGCCUGCCGGAGCCCGUGCACGCGCAGUGCGCGGCAGAAGCUGAAGCCGCCGACGGCGACUGCGGGCGGCCGGCAAAGCGGAGGAAGGUCGUGGCGGAGGAGGUCGCCGGGCAGGAGUGCUCCGUUUGCUUCGAGCUGCUGGAAAGCGACCUCGCCGUGUGGCCCGGGUGCUCCCUGCCCCACGUCUUCCAUGGCGCAUGCCUGGCGGACACCCUCAAGGGGAGCGAGAUGUGCCCUCUCUGCAGGCGCAAGCUGUCUGCUCCGGACGACAAAGUCUAGACUCUUGCAUUGCAACCCAACGUCUCGAGGGCAUCCUUCUGUUUCAAGGGCAGCAUUAUUCAGAUUCAUGAAUUCUGCUGGUUCUGGAAUGAAAUUCUUGAGUUUAAUCAAUGCAUGUUGGACUAUUAUUAUUAUUUUCCUUUUUGUGAUGUCAUGUGAUGAUGAUGCAUGGCAUAGAGUAUUAUUGCAGUUUUAAGUUUUACACACAAGCAAAAAUGAAGUAGCUCUGUGUGGAUGAAUAAACCCAAAGUUCAGUAAUCGACCAUCAUGUUCACAGUUUGCAAUAUACUACCUCCGUACUAAAAUAAUUGUCUUUGUACUAACUUUAAUAUAAAAUUAGGGUCAUGAUAACGCCCACACGUGUGGACGUUAAGAGUCUUGUCACACGUCUCGUGUGGUAUCUAAGAAAACCAGCUCACACGCCUACAUGUGGGUCAAACAAAUCAUGCCCACACGUCCGGCCUCAUGUCUCGCGGUCCCGUCCAAACGCCUACGUGUGGGCAAAACAGGUAACGUCCGCACGUCCGGUCUCCUACCCCAUGGUCCCGCACGCCCGUGUAACAGCCAACACGCGCCCUCACCUCCGAACCCGUUCGGCCCCUCUUUCAUGUUUGUUUAACUACAAUUGCCAUGGUUGCUGAACUGCAGUUGCCAUGGUUGUUCAGCUACAGUCGCUAUGUCUGAGCAAAUUGCAAUUGUCAUCUCAGGUCAAAUGUAGUUGUUGCCAUGUAUGGCCUGGUUUACUGCAGUUGUCAUCUCAGGUCAAGUCCACUUGUCAUUUAUGAACAACUUCGGCUGUUGCCAUGUAUGGCCUGGUCUAUUAUAGUUGCCAUGAUAUGAAAACUUUAAGAGUUGCCACCUACUAACACUAAACAGUUGUCAUAUAACACUUGAUAGACAAGGCAAAAAUAAUAUCUUGAAGUUGCCAUAUGCUUCUAAGCACACUAGGUAGUUACAAAAAUAACAUAUUCAGUUAAGAGAGAGAGGGUUGUCAUCUGCUUACAAGCACACUAGACAGUUGCCAUGUACCACUACAAAAAAACAUGGCAACCGACAGUUUGGGGGUGUGGGAGAGGAGACGGGUGGCGAUCAUGCGGGCAAGUGGAGGUGAAACAGGCGUGUGGGCGAACUGAUAAACGCUCACACACCAGCUCAUCUGCGUGUAUGAAACAAACGUGUGGUCGAAUUGAUAAACGCCCACACACCAGCCAUUCUACGUGCGUGAACGAACGUGUGGGCGACCGGAUGAAAUGCCCACACACGAUCCCAGUCCUACGUGGCAUAGAAAUUUUGGCAAAACUUGCCAACAUUCGUGCAAACCACAAACGAACGACAAUCCAUACGUGUGGGUGGUUUGCAAACGCCCAUACAUGUAAACGUUAUCUUUUUGAUAAAAUUAUACUAAACUUAAGAUACUUAUUUUAGGAUGAAAGCAACACAAACUUUAUUUUAUGAAAACAUACACAAACCUAUAUGCAUCCCUGGACUUGUUUAAGUAGAGCAAUGUAAAUAUUCACGCAUCCCUGGACUUGUUUAAGUAGAGCAAUGUAAAUAUUCACACACAUCUGUUAAUCUGUCACAAAUCUAUUUGCUAGAAGAAGCGGUCAGGGUCUCUCACGUCUAAAGCUCGAGAACUCGCUUGACACUAGACCUCAAUCUCAUAUCCUAAGUGCUACAAGCUUAAAGCAUCUUCAACAGAUGUACUAAAUAAGCAGCGCGCUCAGAAAAACGAUUAUAUAGGGCACGUUGUUAAAAGUAGUGUUUCAGUAGCCAUGUUAUAACCCCGCAUACAGUAAACAAACGUCAGCACACUGAGAAAAGUUGCAUUGCACGUAGUUUAUUUGAUGUAUCCGCUCCAGCACGCUGGACAAGUGAAUCAUGCACGUGAAUCACCACGGAUCUAAAAUCUCCUGGCGCUGGCGCCUCCGCGUGUACGUGUCGUCGGCGCUUCUGCCGCCUCUCCCUAGCACGUCGUCGCUCCUCCUGCUUCUCCCGAUGGCCACUGAUGCUUCCUCAACCUUCUCUCCUAACCGUCACCCCUUGAGCGCACCGUUCCUUUGACGAACAACGUGCGACGAUUGUUUGCAGCUCGGCGCCCACAAGGUGUUUGACAAAAUACUUGCAAGGUAUAUAUUGCUUUAAAUUUUAUAUUUAUAGAUGAAUUUGGUGCAUGUUCACUAGUAGGAAACACGGCUUUGGUCCUGGCCUGAUAAGAGUAUGAGUCACGGUCGACUUACGAACAUAGACUAAUACGUGCAUCAAUCUCGGUUCGAGCGGUCAGAAUGCUAGACGGAGCUUGGUAGACAUUAGUCCUGGUUCGAAUGAGACCUUUAGUCCCGGUUGCACACACCAACCGGGACAAAAGGGGUUUACCACCUUUAGUCCUGGUUGGUGUCUGCAACCGGGACUAAUGGUCCUCCCUUUAGUCUCGGUUGGAGCCAAAAACCGGGACUAAAGGUCUAUUUUCUUUUUUUGGCUUGUUUUGUUUUUCUAAACACGAUAGUUUCUGUUUUUAGAUUUGAAAUAACUGUUAGAAUAUUUAUAGUUUUUGAAUGUAUCUUUUCUGCUUUAGGUCACAAAAGUUAUAAACUUUCUGCUAAUGCUAGUAGUUUUCAAAUUUGAAUAGUUUAAAUUUGAAUUCUUUGAAAUUUGUGUGAAUCACUACUUUGUGAAUAACUCUACUUUAAAAUGGAUUUUUGAGUGAUUCUUUUUCUUGCUAUUUAAUACUAGUGUGUUUUGUCAUUAUAUAAAAUUUGGUAAUUUUUAGGAUAUUUCAAAUGUGUGUUUUAAUCAAAAUAAGAUUUUGUUUACUCUUUUAGUUUUAUAGCUCAAAAAAUCAUUAAAUGCAUGAAAAAUAACAAAUGAAGUGAGAAAGUGUUGAAAAUUGAUGACGUGUCUUUGAAUUGUGAAUAUUGAACUCACAAAAAGUCUGGAAUUCAAAUAAGUUUGAAAAAUGAAAUGCCUUUGUAAGAGAUGUGUAUUCAUCCGAAACCGUGAUAUUUCUGAAUAGAUUGUCCAGUUUGUACACGAAGUGCAUCCAUUUUUUGCCGUAACCCUCUCAACUUUUUAGCACAUGUUAUGUGGGUGAAAUAAUGAUACCAUGUCAAGUUUCAGCCUUUACAGAGUUCAUUUGUAGUGUUUUUCAAUGUCACGGUCAUUUAGCUGAAAAAAUUAAUUAAAUGCAUGAAAUAUUCAAAUAAAGUCAUAAAGGGUUGAAAAUUGAUGACGUGACUUUCAAUUGUGCAUAUUGAAAUCACAAAAAGUAUGGUGUUAAAAUAAGUUAAAAAAAGAAAUAUCUUUGUAAAACCUAAGUUUUUCGUGUGAAACUGUCAUACUUCGAAAGAGAUUGUCCACUUUGUACACGAAGUUAGCACAUGUUAUGUGGAUGAAAUGCUGAUACCAUGUCAAGUUUUUAGCACAUGCUAUGUGGAUGAAAUGAUGAUAUCUUGCCAAGUUUCAGCCUUUUCAGAGUUCAUUUGUAGUUUUUUCAAUUUCAUGGUCAUUUACCUUUUUAAAUAAAUGAUGUCAUAUUUUACUUUAAAAAAAUAAAUGAUGUCAAUUUUACCCUUUUAAAUAAAUAAUGUCAUAUUUGUAUUCCUCACAUUUUUCUGAUGAUAAUGGAUAUAUUAUUUGUUGAAUUUCGAUUUAUAGAUUUAAAGAUAUCAAUUAUGCCAUAUUAAAUGAAUAAAUGGCAAAAAAUGAAUAAAUGAUUUUAUUUUCAUUGAAAUUCAAUAUUACUAUUACUUAUUUUUUUGAUUUUUUUAUUAUUUUGAUAUUUUGUUUUUUGUGCUUUUUGAGAAUUAUUUGAGUUUUUCUUUUGAAAUUUUUACCUUUUUAAAGUUUUUUUAGUUUUUAAAUUAAUUAUUAUUGUUUGUUAAUCAUUGUUGUUUAUUUUAAUAAUUGUUUGGACUCAAAAAAUUAAAUCAUGUGACAUCAAGACCUAAGGGUUAAUAAGAUUGAUAGCUUACUAUUGUCAAUAAAACAACAAGUACACACUUGGAAACUAGUGAAGAUAGAACCGAAAAGUUAAGCGUACUUGGGUUGGAGCAAUGAGAGGAUGGGUGACCGGCCGGGAAGUUAAACGGUUUGAAAUGAGUGGAGUGAGUGACUUACAGGGAAGUUAGAUGAUUUGAAAUGAGUGUUUCAUGUUCGAGUACCGAGUAGGGGAGAUUAGGGAUUAAGUUAUCAAAAAAAUUGAAAAUCAGAAAAAACUCAAAAAACGGGACUAAAAGUUUUGACCUUUUGUGUCGAUUGUUUGGUCCCGGUUGGAAAACCGUGACUAAAGGCCCUUUGGAACCGGGGCUAAAGGCCCGUUUUCCACUAGCGGUUAUUUCUAGUUUUAAGUUAGAGCUGAAGCACUGUGGUUCGGUUUUCGCUCGUCAGAAAUAUGGAGGGAAAGGGUCGAUGCCCACAAUAGAUUGGUGAUAAACUAUUUUGUGGAGAAUCCAACAAACCCCACAUUCUACUUUUGACGUCGUUUUAGGAUGAGCAUCGAGUUGUUCAAAUACACUGCACAGAAACUGGCGAGGCAUGAUCUUUUUUUAGCAAAGGAGGAAUGCCGCCGGCAAAUUCGGGCAUAGAACCUUUCCAAAGGUGAUCGCCACUUUGCGUAUGUUGUCAUACGGUAUUCCGAUGAAUCUAGUUGAUGACCACUUGACCUUGGGUGAGAGUGAAGCCAUCAUGUGUGUCAAGCACUUCGCAGUUGGAAUUGUACAAGGGUUUGGUCCAGAAUAUUUGAAAGCUCCCAAUGUUGUAGACACCGCAAGGCUUUUGGAGUUCAGCAAAGCUCGCGGGUCCCAAGUAUGCUUGCCAUAAUACAUUGCAUGCGUUGGAGUUGGAAGAACUAUCCUACGGCAUGGCAUGAAAAAUUCCACGGUCAGAAAAAGGGUUUCACUAUAAUCCUUGAAGCGGUGACCGAUCAUGAGACUUGAUUUUGGCAUGCUUUUUUGGGAAUGCCCGGAUCUUGCAAUGACAUCAAUGUUAUUCAAAGGUCACCACUCAUGAAUAGGAUUGCAACUGGUGAAACUCAACCGGUGGAGUUUGUAGCAAAUGGCCAUACACACAACUAUGGAUAAUAUCUUACGGAUGACAUCUAUCCACGGUGACAAGCAUUUGUGAAGCCGUUGAAGGCACUGCAAGUUAAGAAAAAACUUGAUUUUCACGAUGCUCAAGCGGCGUCUAGGAAAGAUGUGAAGAGAGCUUUUGAGAUUUUGCAAGCUCAAUUUUCUGUUGUGAGGGGAUUGGCCAGAUUUUGGGAUCAAAAGAUCCUUCGAUACAUAAAGAAAGCUUGCGUGAUCAUGCAUAACAUGAUCAUCAACAGUCAGCGUGGGCAAGAUUCAGACUAUUCUCAGUAUCAGUUGAUGCGACAACCCACACGAGUGUGGAUAAGGACAGCAAGGGCGGCCCGCUUUGUUGCCUCCUAUCAUGUCAUUCGACGUGGCAAAGCGCAUGAUGAGCUUCAAAAGAAUUUUGUCAAGGAGUGAUGGUCAUGGAAUGGACAACAAAAUUAAUUUAACAUUGUAUGAACUAUUUGUUGUAUUAUUCAUGAACUAUUUGUUGUAUUGAAGAUAAAAAAUUUGUUUAAGUUGUAAUAAUAAUUGAACAAUUUAUUAUUAAUUUACUUUGUGUGUGUUUGAUCUUCUUGAUUCUAUGUUUGAGUAGGAAAUGUUGAUUGUGCUAGGCGCACGAGCUAGAAUUUAGCGUCACUGCUGGAGCGCUACCUGCGGAGCACAAUAUUAUAGCGCUUAUGGUAAAGCAAAACACCAGCCUAGCGCUUUAAAAGUCUAUUUCCACGUUGCAAAAAAGAAUUUAGCGCGCCGCGCUACCGCGUGUGUGUUGAAGAUGCUCUGAUAAUACAACAUUUGAACACGGAAGCAUUGGAGUUGCAAAAUUGAUACCGACGAGGCUGAGUUAUUCACACACCCCUCACGAAAUUUUACAUUUUUUAAGAAGUUGGUCUCAAUUCUCUCAACAUGCAAAGUGUCCACCACAAUAUUCCACUAGGCAAUGCAUUUAAUACUUCUCUCACAAUAAGCCCUGCAAAAUUUGCCACAUAAACACUCUCAACAUACAAAGUGUUCACCUCAGCGUCCCACUAAACAAUGCAUUUAAGUCUUCUCUCCCAUUAAGCCAUGCAAAAUCUAUCACAUAAACGAGUCAUGCAUUUAACUUAUAAAUCAUAAUUACUUUUGCAUUAGUCUAUGCAUGUAACACUGCCACAUCAUGAAGAUUAAGGUUAGUCAUCAUUCACAUUCUGUUUGAAAUGACAUUAUUAAUUGUAAUUCAAAAGUAGUUAUUCUAUGUUCAGACAUUCUUAUUAUUUUUAAUUUUAUACUUUCUUUUCAUUAGACUUAGCAACUACUUACGCAUAUUUUAACAAAGUUACCGUAUCAACGCAUGGGGAGAUUGAGAGUCAUCCUCAUUACUCAUGUCCAACUUUUCCUUAGUGAAGAAGGCACCCGCGUGGACAACUCUAAGGAAUUUUAAACUCACAAUAUGAUACUUAUAUUCUAAAACUAUUUUGCAAUAAUAAAUGAAUCAAGUAUAAUAGAUAUCAUAUAUUUUUUAUUUCAUACUCAUAUUUUUAAUUAUAAUAUUCAUGUUUCACGUAAGCAAAUAUCAUCUAAACAUAUUGCCAACAAUUUCUGUAGCAACGCAUAGGAAUUUGUCUAGUAUCACUCGAUGUUUGUGACUUGAGCCUCGACGUCUAUGUGUUUUUCCUGCAUACACGAGGGAACUAUGUGAUUAUUAGUUAAUUAGUAGUAUGCUAUGUGUGUAUAAAAAUAUGACCAGCAACUGAAUUUUCUGCAUCGCAACUACACACUACUAUUUCUUUAUGACAAUAAAAUUAUAUAGUUUUGCCUUGCUCUUUUCUUUUGUCGCCCUGUUUAUUCUACAACAAAGAUGCUUACAUGUAUCCAAAAAUGCCAACAAAUAAUGGUAUGGAUUUACAGUUGAAAAAUGUCCGCAUAUAUCCAGAGAUGCGUACAACCAACGUUGAAGAUGCAUGCGCAUUAUCCAAGAAAAUGCCUCCAAUGAAAGAAAAAAUGUAGAUCCAAAAUGAGAUGGCAGUGGAUGGACAUGGAGUACCUGCCUAGUACAGAGUAUGUUGAACUGUCCUUGAAUGGGCUCAGACUAAGAUUCAGACAAAGAAAAACCAUCUGAUUUAGGCAAUGGAUGGUGAAAGGUUCUAGCCACUCCGUUUGGUGAUUUGUCAUGGGCGACUUAGUGCAUUGGGUUGGCGGAGUAUGUGCUUGGACAUGGCGACUACAUGCAAUCUAGGUGGGCACUAUGUGCAUGAGAUGACGGUGGACUGGACUAUGGACGAACACGGAGUACUUGGAAGUUCAGAGUAUAUUAAAUAAUCGUUCGAUGGGUUAAGACUAAGAUUCAGAUAAAAAGGGCAUCAGAUAAUAAUAAUAAUAAUAUAUCAUUCUUUUAAAUUAGUGAACUUGAAAAGGAAAGAACUUGGCAGCACGCAAUGCAUUUAAAUCUUCUCUCACACUAAGCCAUGCAAAAUCUGCCGCAUAAGCACUCUCAACAUACAAAGUGUACACCUCAACGUUCCACUCAGCAAUGCAUUUAUUCUAUGUUUAGACAUUUUUAUUGAUUUUUAAGUUUAUACUUUCUUUUCAUUAAUUUUAAUUGUUGGAAAUAUGUCCUAGAGACAAUAAUAAAUUGGUUAUUAUUAUAUUUCCUUGUUCAUGAUAAUCGUUUAUUAUCCAUGCUAGAAUUGUAUUGAUUGAAAACUCAAAUACAUGUGUGGAUACAUAAACAACACAUUGUCCCUAGUGAGUCUCUAGUUGACUAGCUCGUUGAUCAAAGAUGGUAAAUGUUUCCUGGCCAUAGACAAAUGUUGUCACUUGAUAAUGGGAUCACAUAAUUAGGAGAAUGAUGUGAUGGACAAGACCCAAACUAUAAACGUAGCAUAUGAUCGUGUCAGUUUAUUGCUACUGUUUUUCUGCAUGUCAAUGUAUCUGUUCCUAUGACCAUGAGAUCAUGCAACUUCCGGACACCAGAGGAAUACCUUGUGAGUAUCAAACGUCGCAACGUUACUGGGUGACUAUAAAGGUGUUGUACAGGUAUCUCCAAAGGUGUCUGUUGGGUUGGCAUGGAUCAAAACUGAGAUUUGUCACUCCGUGUGACGGAGAGGUAUCUCAGGGCCCAUUCGGUAAUACAACAUCACAACAAGCCUUGCAAGCAAUGUGACUAAGGAGUUAGUUACGGGAUUUUGUAUUACGAAACGAGUAAAGAGACUUGCGUGUAAUGAGAUUGAACGAGUAACAUACCGAAGGACAAAGGGAACAACAUACGGGAUUAACUGAAUCCUUGACAUAGAGGUUUAACCGAUAGAGAUCUUAGUAGAAUAUGUAGGAGCCAAUAUGGACAUCCAGGUCCCGCUAUUGGUUAUUAACCGGAGAAUGUCUCAGGUCAUGUCUGCAUAGGUCUCGAACCCGCAGGGUCUGCACACUUAAGGUUUGGUGACGUUUCGGUAUAGUUAAGUUAUAGGUGUUGGUAACCGAAAGUUGUUCGGAGUCCGGGAUGAGAACCCGAACGUCACGAGGAGCUCCCGAAUGGUCCGGAGCUAAAGACUGAUAUAUAGGAAGUCCUGUUUUGGUCACCGGAAAAGUUUCGGGUUCAUCGAUAGUGUACCGGGAGUACCGGGAGGGUACCAGGGACCAUCGGGAGGGGUGUCACGCCCCGAGGGGGCUUAUGGGAUGUGGGAGGAUACAAUCCAACCCUUAGUGGGAUGACAUAAGCACCCACUAAGUCCCAUGAGGUUUGAGAGGCAAAAACCCAAAGGUGGAAAGGGUUUCCACUAGAGGUGCUUAGGCGCGCCGUAGUUCUUCCUCUAGAUCGGAUUUCUGCGGUGCUUAGGCGAAGCCCUGCACAAAUAGAUCACCACCAUCACCAGCGCGCCGUCACGCUGUCGGAGAACUCAUCUACUUCCCCGUCUCUCUUGCUGGAUCGAGAAGGCGGGGGUCGUCCUCGAGCUAUACGUGUGCUGAACGCGGAGGUGCCCCUUGGUCGUCGCCCCUCCUAGGGGAAACCCUAGGCCGACCAGGUUCGGGCCAGCUGGUUUUGUUUUGGAUACAUCCAUUUCAGCAUCUAAUUCCUGACCGAGGAAGUAUAACAUAAGAUCUGGAGCAGGGCAGCAUCCCCCCCCAUGGAACAGAUUAUGUGUAUUUAAAUUGAUUUGUAUGUAUGGACUUUGGUAAUCCCAAUCGGUUUAUUUAAAUCUUGCAUCAUGUUUUGUUUUGGAGCUCCAUCUAUCUUCGUACAAUAUUUCAGGUUCACUUUAGUUGAUUUCGUUGGUUAUAUAUGUAUGUUUAAAGCUAGCCAGAACUUUCACCUAUAUGUGAUGUAAAUGUGCUUGGAUAGCCUAAUAGUUAUGGUUCACUAGAUCAUUGAUGGCGCGCCUUGCCGCGUCCGUCCAUUUUGGCACUAUAAUGAUGGUGGUCUGACGGAAAAAAACGACCAACAAUAGACGCGAUGGUCGAAGUCGCUUAGUGCGUCAAAGGACUACAAAAGGUUCACUGGCGCCCAUUGUUACACCCAUCUAUUUCUACAAUAUACGGAGAAUAUAUCAAAUGCUGGAUUGGUCGGUAUAAAUAUUAUAUGGAACAAACACUAUUUAGUUAAUACUAAGAGGCCCUAAGUGCAAAAGAAACCAGAAGUGGCCAACAGAAUUACAAAACAAUGAGUGAACCAAUUGUUGUUGUCUCCACAAAUGUGAAGUUAUGAAAGAUUACGGACAAAAAAUCGCAAGACGAGAGGAGGUUUACGUGUUGGAGCUAGCUUUGAAUAAUAUACUGAGUAAUAAUAGUCAUUACUUUACGGAGGGAGAAGUUAGUAACACGGACCUGGUGAAAUUUUCACUACAGAUUUGCGAGACUAAAGGGUUGCUUCUUAAUGGCAAAAUUAUUUAUGGUAUUUCAUGCAACCAAAAAUUUGACAUGGCCAUGACUUUGGCUGCUGCUUGGUUGAUUUCCAAAGUUUUGGCUACCCAAACACUUAUAAAAAAAUUGGCAGAAAAUUAUUAUGUACAUGCAUGUUUAGAUGACCAUGAAGACUGAAACUGUAGAACGCAUGUACUAUCAUCGAUAAGAUGGCAUGUAUCUACAACCUUAUUCAGCAAAUAGGACAUGAUCAGAAAGUACCGACACCAGCCGGAAAUAAAUCGCACCAAAACCGAAGAAGCAAGUUCUGGAAAGACCAUGCAUCUAAUUUAGGAUAACAAAAUGUAGAUACAAUGCCAAGUACCGAAUAAUAUCUCAUGCCUGGCAAGUACCGAAUAAUAUCUCAUGCCAGCAUUAGGGUGAAGGACGAGGAACCAAUUAAGACAGUAGCAAAAAUAUGUGGAGAUGGCCAAAAAGAAGUUCACCUACAUCUAGCUAGCUUAGCUAACAUAAUACUCACCAUCUGUUUUCAAAACUAUUGAAAGCAUCUGCCUUAGAAGAGGUGUGAAACUUUGACUGACCAACGAUAUGCAGGAUCUGAUGGUAUAAAGCUGCAGGCAAGAAGAAAGAUGCAAAUGUGUAAUCCCUCCGGUCGGAAAAAAGUGUUCUUAGUUCAAAGCUGAGACACUUUUUAGGUGAGAGGGAGUAGUAAUUUGCAGACUGAAAGAACACCUUGACCUCAUCAUUAAUGAAAUGUCAGCAUGUGCACCAGAUAAAAGCUAAUUACCAGUUCGUUUAAGUACUGAUAUAAAAUAAAAACUUCCACCUUGCCAACAUAAAUGCAAGCGAAAGCGUAGAGAUAUCCCAAAGAAUGUAAGCGCAUGUACAUCUGAUUUGAAGUUCUUUUCUCUCAUAUGCAGAGGGGUCAUCCCCUUUUCGAGAAUUAUGCAGAUGAAUGAUGUUAGGCAUCUAUAAGUUUUCAUGAAAAAAUGGUGAUAUAGCAAAGUGAUUCAUCAAUAUGUAUCGAAUUAGCCACCAGUCCAUCAAACUCAACCUUCACUAAUUAGUGUGCUACAGGAGGGCUUUCAGCUUCCUUUUAACUCCAGAGACCACAUGUUGUACCUAUAGAUGCAGAAUUGGAGAAUAGAAUUUCAGUUCAUAAAUCCAAUAACAUACUGAUUGGACUAAUCCUCUCUAUUUAGUUGUUAAACAUUCAACAUGUGAAGCACCAAAAGCAAUCAACUAACAUCAAAUUCCAGGAGAUUUAUACAUUGUACAUACAUAAAAACAUCGCUGUGGCCUCCAAAAUUCCUGCAUGGAAAGUGGGCCAAUUCAAGUUAAAUCCUAUUCACCAACAAACAAACUAUGAACGUAUCACAAUGGAAGCAAAUGUGCUUUCUAUACCAUGAAUUAAGGAUUAUUUGAACUCACAGGAUCUGCGGUAACGCCCAUACCACCCAUCAGGCAAAUUGAAAUCGGGAUGGUGUUGACCAUGAUGAAAGAUCUUGUGCUGCCGGGUAGAAAGGAUGAGCCAAGAGUGUUAGGGAGGAAGAAUAUAUAGACGUAGCACCCUGCAGUGGAAAGGAUUAGCAUAUCAAUCACCAUGAAUGAACCCUAAGAAACUGAAGUAUGAUUGCGAGCAGUUUCCAACAGAUGAGGCGCCCACAAUCAUCAACUGUGUUCGCCUUUUCCACUUCACAAACGGAUCGACCGCAUCGGCUGGAUCGGACGGCCACUGAUUCAUCCGCAUCAUGCGCGUCCGCUGGAUCACCUCGUCGGCUAGAUCGCUACCCUCGCAUGCAUCAAUCUGAAUCACCUCGCUCGCCCCUCUCGUGCCUCGGCUGCCACGAGCGCCUCCUCUCUCUUCCCGUCAAGCAUCCCCUCGACCACACAAUUGUUUUUUUUCUUUACGUACGCGAUCCAACGACAGAUCGGAGUCAGACCUCGUUGUUUAAGUGGGCUUCCUCGAUCAGCCCAAUUAAUCAGAGGCCUCGGUUUUUUCUUCCGGAGUAGUAGCCCUUAUGCCAGUUGGCCCAGGAAGCUACACGAGUUGGGCCGGGACGCCGCAAAACAUUAAGUGGAGCAGAUCCGACGGCCACCAACAACCAGAUAGCCAAAACGAACGGCCAGGAAAGCAAAUGGUGUGAGAGAGCUUGGAUUAGGCUCGGUUUUACUGUCGUAAAUAAAUAAAUGAAGUGAAUUACUACUGUCCAGAAAUCAUACAUCUCAUACUGUCUCCUUUUUUUUUGCGGCAGAAUCUCAUAUUGUCUCCACGGGCAGAAUCUUGGUCUGUGGCCAGUGUUUCUGCUUAUGUAAUUUGCCAGGUUGAAACAACAUAGACUAUUACUGUAUUUUGCAAAUGUGACCUGUGUGAAGUCGGAACUCAGAAGCAUCCCACUUAGUGGUGUUUUUUUCCUUAUUAAGCGUUUAGAUCACUAAUGUAGUGGUUUAAACGCUCUUACAUCUUUUACGGAGUGACUAUUUCUUAUUUGUCCUCUAAGUAUACACACGUGAGCUUUUACACCUUGAUAUAUUGAUUUUUUUUAUAGCAACACCUGAGUUAUUUUAUAGUUUCACAAGUUUAUGAACCAAAAAGAAGAGAUACCACACUUCUUCGCUCCAACAACCGCCCGAGAGAGGCGAUUGGGUUGGCGAACUGCUGCUCCCAGCCUUCGUCCACGACGCCGCCAAUCCUGCCUCCUAUGUCGUCUUCUUCAAGACUAAGACUAGAGGGGGUGGGGACCCUAGUGAUUUUUCUCUCGCACAUAAAAGCAAGUACAAUAAGGUGACAUAAGCAGGCUAUAAGGAUUAAAAUAUUAUAUCCUUGCUUAGUUGGAGGAGAGAGAGGAGGAGGAAGAAGAGAAGCGGACUUUUGGUGAGUAACGAGCUGCAGCACAAGAUCCAAGACACUUUGUGAGAUUGUAGGGUAGGUUUUGUAUGUGCGGCGGUGUCGCUUCUGACGAUGACGACGGUAAUGCAUUCAAAAAUAACGCCCAUGCUACACUCUCGUCUUGAUGGCGUCCAUGGUGCCGUCGAGGAGCCACUGGGUUCUGUCUUUCGUCGCCCCUUCAGGUUAACGUGUUUAGGUCUUCGACCGGUGGUUGUCGUCCUUAACGACGCCAUCGUUGGGCGAGAGCGAAUGGCAAUCUGUGUUUGAGGAUUGAUGGUGUGGAUCUAGCGCUUGGCCUCGACGAUAUCGACGGUUGGUGAUGGCUUUGGGACUCGAGAGGGAGUGGGGAUGAUCCCCGGUCGACUCGCCACAUCGAUAAAGACCUUGCCGUUGGCGGGCUUCUUCAUCGAUUCACAGUGCCAUUUUGGGUUGUGGCUCUCCUCACAGGAUUACAUAAAUAUUUCUUUGUAAUUUUCUUUCUUUGAGUGUUCUUUACGAUCUUCUGCGGACCCUUCCGGUUGGUUCCGCAUGCAUGCUUUGUAUGAUUCUUAUUUAUGAUCAAUGAUACACGUGGUUACCUUGGAAAAUAAAAUAAAAGUGUAUGAACCAAACUGAUUAUCUAAUGCAAGUUUUGUGACCUACCUUGAAGAAAGAAAUCAAACUGUUCAUCCGAUCUAGCGACAAGAAACGUAACGAGGUAGUAUGAGUGGCAAUCAUAAAACUUGCGCCUCAUGUUUAGUUUAGUGCUAAAAAUUAUAAAAUACAUCAUUACAGUCACAUAACUAGUCCAUGCGUGCAUAUACAAUCACUUCUUUUGUAUCGAGACGUAUCUAGUGCUCACAUGACACGUCAGCAUGAACGCGGCCCGCAUGUUAGUGCCUGGGACUGGUGAGGCAUUAGGUGAGCCUCACAUUAUCUUUGUUUUUUUGCAGAAAAGACCCAUGGCUUUUAUUUAGUUGUGUACAUGUCAUAAAAUUAAGAAAACUCUAGAACUAGAUUCGAACCCAGACCUCAUAUGAUUAAGAGGGCAUAGAUAACCAAUCUUACCAAUGGACAUAUGGCAAUUAGAUUUAUAUAAUAUAUGUUAAUACGAAUUAAAGAAAAAAAUCAUAAGGGAAGAAGAGUGUGCAAAAGAGGGAAACACCAGUUUGAACCUAUGACCUCCUGACAUGAAUUGAAGAGAUAUACAUAAUUUAUCUUCUCUAUUUUUCUUUCUUUUUUACUAUGUAUGCAAACAACAUAUAUUCCAGGUAAAUUUUUCGGACAAAGCAACUAAAAUUUUAUUUGAUUUCAAAUAAUUUGAAAUUUGAAAUCUAGAUAAAAGGAAAUAUAGUGCAGAAUGAAUGUACACAUUUUUUUUAUGACAAAUCAUUUUUUAGUUCGAACAAUUUCAACUUAAAAAAUCUAGUGCACAAUGAAUACGUGUAAAUUAUUUUCGACAACAUAACAAAAUAACGUUUGAAUUUGUACAAUUUAAAAUUUUAAAAUAUAGAUAAAAGGAAAUAUAGUGCAGAAUGAAUGUUCGUUUUUUUUCGGAUUAAUGUUUUUCUAAAAUUAUAAAGAUUUUAGUUUAAAAUAUUUAAUGCAGAAUGAAUGAACACCAAUUCCUUGAAACAAAUCACCGAAUGUUUUGUUUGAAUUCCAAUAAUUUUAAAUUUGAAAAUCUAGAUAAAAAAAAAUAUCAGAAUGAAUGUACAUAACUUUUUUGAUAAAAUAACAUUUUUUUGAGUGCAUGCAUGUAAACUUUUCGGACAAAUCAAAUAUCUGCUUUAAACUUGAAUAGUUUCAAUUUUAAAAAUCUAGAUAAAAGAUGAUACAGUGUAGACUGGAUGUACGUAAAUUUCUUUUAGACAAAUCAACAAAAAAACUGUUUGAAUACAAAUAAUUUUAAAUUGAAAAAUCGGUAAAAGAAAAUAUAGUUUAAGUUAUUUGUCCGAAAGAAAUUUAAAAUUUAAAUAUUUUUUAAAUAAUAGACCGCUCAAUCAGGAUGAUCCCACUUUCUCCAUGAUAAUAUGCACAUGUCAUGGAGAAUAUCUAUUCCCCGUGUAGUUUUCUUAAAUAGAACAAGAUAAAUGAAAGCAUACAAACCGCCCGAAAAAAUAACAACAUACAAACGACCAUUUUUACUCCGAGCAUGAAUAUUGUUUUGUAUACAUGGACAUCUAUAAAAUGCAACCUAUGUUAUUCCAAUUACAAAAAAUAUUUUUUACAAUUUUUAAGCAUUUUUAAAAACUUUGUGUAUUUUUUGUAAGACAUUAUUUUUUUAGUGUCACAAACAACACAAUAUAAGUUGUUUCCUUACAUCAGUUUAUUCCUGCAAGGAAUAACAUGACAAGUUUUUAGUUCUUGUUUAUUAGUUUGUUGGGCUGAUUGUACAUUGUAUUAAAGAAAAAUGGUGUUUUUUGUCUUGUACUCCCUCCGUCCCGAAUUUCUUGUCGGAGAAAUGGAUGCAUCUAGAUGUAUUUUAGUUUUAAGUACAUCCAUUUUUAUUCAUUUCCGCGACAAGUAAUUGCGGACGGAGGGAGUAUCUAAUUAUUUCUGGUCGAGUGGAUAGUUUAGUUAGUUCAUGGAAUGGAGGACGUCGAUCGAAUCCCCUUGACGCUAUUUUCUAUUCUAGUUUUUUGCGAGCACCAUAUGCUGACAGGUGCGUAAGUAAAUAAAAGUUAAGAGUGUUUUCCAAAAGAAAAAAGAUAAUGUUUUGCUUACCCGUCGCUCACUAUUUACGAUCACUGAUAUAUGGGCCACAUUCAUACUAACAAGCCACGUGAGUUCGAAAUAUGGCUGGAUACGAAAAAGUGAUCGUAUAUGCACAUAUAGACAAGCGGUGAGACUGUAAUGACGUACUCCCUCCGUUCUAAAUUUCUUGUCUUAACUUUGUUUAGAAAUGAAUGUAUCUAAAUACUAAAACUUGACUAGAUAUACAUUCAUAUCUAAACAAAUCUAAGACAAAUUUUUUGGAACGGAGGGGGGUAUUUUGCACUUUUAGCACUAAAUGAACAUCCUAUGCACUACUGUUAGAAAUGUUUUUAUACUGUAUUAUGGAAUGGAGGGAGUAACUGUUAAUUUCCUGUUCGAAAACUUAAGUGUUGAUGCGGAGUGUUUCGCGAACCGGCUGGCGGCAAGAAACGGGCAGGGCUACAUGAACAUGAGCGGCCUUUUCCGAGACCAGGAGGCGCUCACUGUCGCCGGCGCUAGAAACAGAGGCAGGCAGCCACACGGGGCCACAGGCCGCAAGAUUCUGCCCCGCAGAGACAAGAUGGUCCCUGAUCUCAUCUCUGACCUCACAUCGUGCGGUGCGGCUGCUACGAGCCCUCCACCGCAGUGGUGGGCGGGGAAUCGUGCUUUUUCCCACCGAAAAAGACGUCCAGGUUCAACGUACCCACACGAACCGGGGUCAAUCCAGCGCCCCACCCGUCGCACCUACGCAUCUCGGCCGCCUCCCAUGCGCUCGCCUCCCUCCCAAUAAACAAACAAGCCCGUCGGCUCGGCGUCCCACCUGUCACCGACAGGCGGGCCCCGCACCCACGGAGCCCACUUGUCAUCCCUUGCCGCUCGACGCGUGGCCGCCACGGUCGUCAGGCCUGAUGCUCGCCGCAGCCGAUCCCCUCUGCCCACCUCCUCGUUCCGCCUGAGCCCCGCGCAUGCACCCGCACCCACCUGCCAAGGCGCGCGCACUUUGUCCUGGCCCGUCUGGUCUAGUGGUCUACGGUACGCCGAGCGCACGGGAGCGCUCAUCCCGGGUGGGCCAGGGCGGCCGUGCCCGCCCCCCCCCCAUCGGAAGAGCNCCCCCCAUAAAGCCCCCGCGGCCCGUCGUCACGGCCCCUCGACCCAGCCAAGCGCCCGCAGCAGCAAAAAUCCAUCACUCGCACUCCUCUCGCCGCGCAUCCCCCCCUCCAUCCCUGCGUUCCGGCCGGUUCCUGCCGCGGCGAUGUCGGCGGCGGUGGGCGGCGCCGAGUUCCAUGGUUUCGGGGGCGCCGCGCAGCUCCCGAGGUCCCGGAUGCUCGGGCGCCCCGUCAGGGUGGCGCCGCCCGGGGCCACACCGGCUGGCGGCGGCGGGCCCUCGGCGGCCAGCAUUCGCGCCGUUUCCACGGUGAGUUUUCUGGUGUGGCGGGGCGGCGGGCGCGUUCGAGUUUAGGGUUUUCUUCGUUUUCGCGGGGGAGGUUUUUUCGGGCCUCGCCCGUCGGGAAUGGAAUUCAUCAGGUUUUGAGGGCAGUUUAACCGACCCCGGUUUCAUGAAAUUGAUGGGAUUAGGUUUCGUUAUACUAAUUCAUCUUUGUACUGUACUAUGUUUCGGUGAGGGCUAGCCACUGGUGUGAAACCAGAUCAGUCAAGCGUUGAUUUCGGAAUCCCCAUCGCCCAGGGCAACACUCACUGACUGCCUCUGUCAUUGAUAGGAACUGAAUCCAUUUUAAAUACAGUAGUACACGAUCACACUUAUCUUACUUAGCUGCUUACUCCUGAAAUGUUCAUUGAUAAAUCGCUUUUAGAGUAUUAUACUGGUAGUCGCUGAAUAGGAAAAAACACUAUGCAAUGAUGCACGACUGCUGCUAUCCGAUGCUCUGAAUUCUGAAACCUUUUGCCGUUCCUGCAGCCCCUGAAGAAGGAUGCGUCGCAAGUUAAGCGAAGCAAGGUCGAAAUAAUCAAGGAGAAGAGCAAUUUUCUUCGCUACCCUUUGAAUGAGGAGCUGGUCUCAGAGGCUCCCAACGUCAACGAAACUGCUGUCCAGCUGAUUAAGUUCCAUGGAAGCUAUCAGCAGAGCGACCGGGAAGUCCGUGGCCAGAAGAAUUACUCGUUUAUGCUCCGGACAAAGAAUCCUUCCGGAAAAGUUCCGAACCAGCUUUACUUGGCUAUGGAUACACUGGCUGAUGAGUUUGGGAUUGGAACGCUCCGUCUGACAACCAGGCAAACAUUUCAGCUGCACGGCGUUCUUAAGAAGAACUUGAAGCAUGUCAUCAGCACUGUGAUUAAGAAUAUGGGAUCAACCUUAGGUGCUUGUGGAGAUCUCAAUAGGAAUGUGCUUGCACCUGCCGCACCAUACGUGAGAAAAGAUAUUCUUUUUGCUCAAGAAACAGCAGAGAAUAUUGCAGCACUUCUCGCUCCACAGUCAGGGGCUUAUUAUGACCUGUGGGUGGAUGGAGAGAAGAUAAUGUCAGCGGAAGAACCACCUGAGGUCACCAAAGCCCGGAAUGAUAACUCACAUGGAACAAACUUCCCUGAUUCUCCUGAGCCAAUCUACGGGACCCAGUAUCUGCCCAGGAAGUUCAAGAUUGCGGUCACAGUUGCUGGUGAUAACUCUGUUGAUAUUCUGACGAAUGACAUCGGUGUUGUUGUAGUUUCAGAUAGUGCAGGGGAGCCUGUUGGCUUUAACCUCUAUGUAAGUGCCAAAGAAAAUUCUGCUCCAUCUUGUACUGCAUUUAGCAAUGCUUACCUUUUUUUUUUAUCUAUCCCAAUUUUUCAGGUUGGAGGUGGCAUGGGAAGGACACACAGAAUAGAAACCACAUUCCCUCGGCUGGCUGAUCCACUUGGUUAUGUUCCUAAGGAGGAUAUAUUAUAUGCUAUAAAGGCAAUAGUUGUUACACAGAGGGAAAAUGGAAGAAGAGAUGACCGCAGGUAUAGCAGACUGAAGUAUCUGCUUGACAGCUGGGGAAUCGACAAGUUCCGGGCUGAAGCUGAAAAAUAUUAUGGGAAGAAGUUUGAAGAUUUCCGUCCAUUACCGGAAUGGCAGUUCAACAGCUACCUUGGGUGGCAGGAGCAGGUAUAAUUCCCCAUCAUAAUUAUCUUGGUCAAGAUGUGGCAAAGAAAUUUUGGAAGAAAUUAUUUACCUUGUUUAGGGAGGAUUGCUGAUAUUUUCAUACAAAAUUUCCGUUUGUCAUUUUUAAUUUAGUUUACUUCCUCGAUGCUUCAAAUUUUGACUUGGCUUGCAUAUUUAUUUGUUCUCUUGCUGUAGUCUGCAUAAGAGCAUUUGAUAAAUCCUGGCAUAUCUCUCAUAUGUUUGUUCGUUCACAACAUUCAUAUAUCAAUUGGUUAUUUUAUGAAAUUUAGGUUUUCAUUUGUUUUUCUCUAUAUUGUUUAUUGCAGGGUGAUGGUAAAUUAUUCUAUGGAGUGCAUGUUGAUAAUGGUCGUCUUGGGGGGCAAGCAAAGGAAACUCUGCGAGAGAUAAUUGAGAAGUAUAACUUGGAUGUUAGCAUUACUCCAAACCAAAACCUUAUCUUAUGUGGGGUUGAUCAGGCAUGGAGAGAACCAAUAACUGCAGCUCUUGCUCAAGCUGGUCUGUUGGUAAGAUUUCUUUCGUCCAUUUCAUAUCCCUACCCUGUGAUGUGGAGUAUACACUUAUUAAGUUGAUAUUAUUAUUAGGGCACUGUAAAUUAUUCUAUCUUGAAAUUAUCCGUGCUGCAUCUGCUGUUCCAAUUGAUAAUGUUGGUCAUAUUGUUACUCUUCCCUAUAUACUGAUUCGUUCUUCUCACAUUGAAAAAUUGAACGCAAGGCUGGUUAUUAAAUUUAGAAAUGAAAAACUGCAAGGCUUUCCUAUAUAUAUUGUCUGGAGCACAACAGGGUGAUCUUUUUCUCCUCACUAAAAAUUGGGUAUUCAUAUAUGUAGGAACCAAAGGAUGUUGAUCUCCUGAACAUAACCUCCAUGGCAUGCCCUGCCUUACCUCUGUGCCCUCUCGCACAAACAGAAGCUGAACGAGGGAUCCUACCG